rnacentral:lncRNA from 1 species
GGGAAAGUUUUAAAAGUCCUUGUCACCCCAUCCUCGCCAUUCCCCGGGACACACAUCACAUCCCCAGGACACGUGUCACACCCCUGGGAUGCGCGCCAGCCACGCCCCCACCUGCUCUCCACCCCCACUGCUCUUCGCCACUGCUCAGCUGGAUGCCAUAUGAACCUAGAAGGAGAUCAGCAGGCCAGGGAGGCUAGUUUGUGGGUGAGUUUUGGUUAUGCCAAGAGCUAAAAGGAUACAGAGGCACUGAACCUUCUCUGUGAGCUGAAUCCCCAAGCUAUGGUCUGCGGUGGCGCCUUCCCUCAAAACCUAAUGGGGAAUCAAGAUCCGUUGGGGUGUUAAUGCUUUGAGCUCUUACAUCAUAUGCUCAGAAUGUAUGUCUGUAUAAGUAAAACCAUAUAUGUAUCCCAAAGACACCACAGUCUCUGCUGACCUUAACUCCAAGGCAGCUGAACCCUGAGUAAGCGUUGGAAAUCCUGAAAUCUCUCACCGCUCAGAAAUUGGUGUGUGUGCAGCUAUAGCUACAGAUAUAGUUGCAAGUUGCAAGUUCUGAAAAUGUUUUGCAGAACUGUUUUCUGUUCUUGCUUUGGGUAGAGACAGUUUUGCAAUUAGUAGUUAACAGUUGUGUUUCUGAGAACUACUUUCUCAACUUUUUUGAGUUUCACAAUUUUGCAUCACAGUAGACAAAACUGGGCUAGAUGGACUGAUGGCAUGAUUCAGUACACAGUAGCUAUUUACAAUUUCCUCAAACUAAGCUUUGGGGAAGUUGGCUUGAGUUUUGGGUACCAGUGUGGGUGAAGCUCCACCUCUCCAGAUGCUUUGUCUCUCAAGGAAAAAAGCCACUGGGGGUGAUUUUGAGGGGACAAAAUGACUGGAAAGGAAAGCGUCAAGCCAUCUCUUCCCUAUCCCCAAACUACCUUCACUCUGUCUGAAGCCAUUCACAGCUGCCAUGUGUAACAUAAAAAGAGCCCACAGGAAUGCAAAACAUGUUGGGAAAUAACUGGGGAAUACCAAUUAAUCCUGAAGUCCCACUACAAAGGAAAAAUGGCUGACUGCCUGAAUUAAAAAAAAAAAAGUGUGCAGGGCUUGACUCGCUCUUUAGCCAAAACAACCCCCAAGCAGAGUUUAAAACAUAUUUAUGACAUGUUUGCAAAGAAUGAGAAAUAUGAAUUGUGCCAGUAUUAAGCAUUUAUAGUUCUCCCCUGCCUUUAACCCUCAGACUGAAUAGACCACAACUUUAGUAAGUUUAAAUGCUUUACUUACAAUAAUCACAGGUCUCACUCAUCAUUCAACACCACAGCAGCAGCAACACAGGCAAGGGACAAAAGUUAGCCUCAAACACGCGGUCUGAGUCUGGAGCCCCAGCUCAGUUUAGCAGCUGGAUAGCUCAGCUGGUUAGAGGUUGCAGGUUUGAUUCCCGUAAGGGACAGCUGCAUGUUCCUGCAUUGCAGGGGGUUGGACUAGAUGAUCCUCAGGGUCCCUUCCAACUCUAUGAUUCUACAUGGUUCAAUGGGGAGAGUGAGGAGCAGGAAACAACCCUUAUUUCCUCCCUCCCCAAAGGUGAGAGGUCAUGACCAGUCUGAGUCUGCUCUUACUGGCAAUCAUGCACAGCUAUGGCUGACUAGAUGCACCUCCCACAGAACAUGCAAGAAGCUCAAUACAUUUUGUGGCCUGAGGAAAAGCAGCAAAUACUCGUGCUGUCUGCCAUAAAGCUUGUGAAGUGGAUCUGCCCCACCCAGUCGGACAGCUGGCUACACUCAGACAACGAAGUUGCCCCACCAGAGGCCCACCAGGGACCGGCUGCUUUUUUGUUUGAGUUUAUAACUUUAUUCUAAGAAGAUUCCCAUUGCAGACCUCAAGCAAGCUCUGCAUGGGCUUGCCAGGGAGAUACUUCUGAGCAAAGUAAUUUGACCAGCCUUGGGCACCAGCACGUACCUGAGGGUGUCAUUUGCCCCUCCACACCAGACAGCAAAACAUCUGGGCCCACCCCUGACAGGACCAGGGGCAGGGAGACCCCUCACCAACAGCUGCAAUCCCUGUUCCUUCCCUGCAGAGCUGUGUUUAAAAACAGGAGAGGGCAGAGAGAUCAAAUGCAAGCCCACAUUUUAAAAGAAAGCAAAAAGCAGAGGGUCAACAUUAGGAGCAUGAACUAUUAAAAUUUUCAUCAUUCGCUAAUCAGAUACAACUUCUUUGCAAUGAUUCAUUUUGGCAAGAGACAACACACAUAAUCAAUUGUUAAAAGUUGUUCUGUGACAUCAGCUUAUUAUCACCAUAGCAACAAUCAAACUACAUGUGUAUUUUUGAUAUGACUUAACUUGUAAUUAAGGAAGGGCUCCUGCAAAGCACACAGCAACCCACUUCCUUCUUAACAACUUUAUUGUAAAGUAAAAAUUCUGUAAGGUAAAAAUUUUGUUAACUCAGUCUGUGCUUAAGAAGUUUGUCCUGGGCAGGACUCUGUAGUUGCACGGAGAGGUGGGAGGAGUAAAAGGAAAAAAGAAAAAAUAUAUAUGCUGAGGGGAAUGUGACUGGGUGUUAUAAGUACAGGUCACCUUAAGUGUCCGUUGGGUCCAUUUCCUAUGGAUAUAAAAGGCUGCAUUUGAGAGGAAGCAGCAGAACACCACGGGGGGUCAGCAGGGAUACGACAGCCAGCACCAUUUCAAAGCCAGUACCAUUGGAGUCAUGUAUGGCAUUCUGUGGCUGGGGGGCAUCAUAACUAUAUUGCAUUAUUGGUAAAAUUCAAGAAAUUUGGUUUCACUGUCAAACAUUGGUCAAAUUAGCUGAAAUCAGGGGGCAGAGUCCUUUCCUCAGUAUUAGAUAGCAUGAAGUGCUUCAUAUAUUAGCACCAACUUGAAAACGGUCAAUUAUCUGGUGGAUUACGAAGAUGUUUUUAAAACACAAAUGUCAAAAAUCUACUUUGAUGGACUUGAGAUAUAUUUCCCAAUGAAAGAACCACAGAAAUAUAUGCACAAAAACAGCUUGUAAAAGUUGUCUGUUGGAAACAUCUGUGAACUCAACCAACUUUGGAAAUUAAGCCAUAAGAAUCUCAACCAGCUACACAUGGAUACUCAGCAAUUAUAUUAUGAGGGAGCUGACAAGUUAAAACAAGUCACUGCUGCAAAUGAAACUGGUAUUGUUAAAGGGGUUUUAUAGAAAUUUGUACAGUUUAUAGCGUUUUAUAGAAAUUUGUACAGUUUAACUUUUCUACUGUGGGAACCAAAAACAAACCCCUGUGUUUCAAUAAGAACCAAUCACAACAAUACAAACACAACACGUAGGUUAAAAGUUAGUGGAGAAUAUAUAAUAGAAUAAUGAUAUCAUUCAAAUUAUAGGAAUAAGCCAAUCAAAGUUCAUAUGUGCAAUAUAACAGAGUAGUAGAGUGGACCGUCAAGCCGUGUGUUCAAAACAGAUGUCUAAGGACAGUCUCACAAUAGUCUCUCAAAAGUUUCAACAGAAGACGUCUCAAAAGUUUCAAAAGCACAGUCAUACCUCAUGUUGCGUCCAGUUCAGGUUACGUGUUUUCGUGUUGUGUCCCACGGCAACCCGGAAGUACCGAAACGGGUUACUUCCAGGUUUCACCGCUCACGCAUGCGCAGACAUGGCACUUUGGCUUGUGUCAGUUCCAUGUUAUGGACGGGCCUCCAGAACGGAUCCUGUCCAUAACACGAGGUUCCACUGUGAAGUCUCUCAACAGUCUUUCAAAAGUUUCAACAGAAGACAUCUCAAAAGCCUCAAAAGUACAGUGUCUCCGGAAUGAUACUACUGUUUUGUAAUAGUCUUCACCAGCUGGAAAAAAGAUACAAGGCAUACAACCAUUUUGUUAUCAUUCAUUGGUUGUAUGCCUUGUAUCUUAUUUCUAGCUGAUGAAGACUGUUCUCCACUAACUAUUAGCCUACGUGUUGUGUUUCCUACUGUGGGAAACAUGAAAUGCACCAACUAAGGGCAUUUUACUGAUGGGAUUUAUAUACAGUACCGCCUUUCUGCCAAGAUGGUUUACAAUUUAAGCACUUAAACGAAUAUAUUAUAUUAAACGAAGACUGACAGAGUCCUCUCAUGCCAGCUGGCCUGGACACCCUUGCUCCUGCCUUCAUCCAUUAAAAUAUAGUUUAUGUAUCUGAGUAAAUAGUGUUCAUUGUUGUCAUAUUUACUGAUUGUGAGUAGAUAGUAUAAACAGCACAACUUUGAGUGUAAUUCCUCAGAUCCAUUAUCAGCAUAGAUCUACAUUUCUCUGUGUAAAGACUGGGGCUGGAAAGAAUGUAGAUUGCUUAGUUUGUUCAGGGGUGUGUGGCUUCUAAUCUCAGGUAGAUUUUGAGUUCAGAUUGUCUGAAUGUAUUGUUCCUGUUAUUUAGGCUGCUGUCCCUAAACAAUCCCUGGUGAGUAAACUCCAUUGAACACAAUGAGAUUUACUUCUGAGUAAACAUUCAGCUAGCUUGUGAAGAUUUAUUUGUGCGCUAUCCAGAUGUUCAGUGUGCUCUGAGAAAUAUGUUGAGUCUAUUCAGACUCAAAGCCGCACACUGUACCCAUCAAGCAGAUGGAGAAGGGGCCAGUGCAGGUUUGAGAGAUUCAAGCCGGAGGGUCCUGAGGGGUAGCUGGGGUGGCCUGUUGCAACAAAAAUGACAAUUUUGUGGCACCUUCAACACUAACAAGUGGAUUAUUACAGCAUAAGCUUUCAUAAAUUAAAAUGCACUUUGACGCUUCAUGAAGUGUUAUCUGAAGUUGUCAGGCAUAUAUCUACAUGGAGCUGUAAGGGGGAGAAUGGUGAGGAGUGACCACAGAAAAUAAGAAGAGCCUGCUACAUCCUGCCAAAGACUUAUCUAAUCCAGCCUUGUGGUCUCACAGCAGCCAACCAAAUGCUUAUGAGAAGUCACCAGGAGGACCUGAGUACAGCAGCGCACUCCCAGAGAGUAACGCCAGAUGGAAAUGAAAAGCAAAAAAUACAGAAUUUGACAAUUACAUAAAUGCCCCGAAGCGUUAAAUGCCCAUUAACAAAGCAGAGUGGGUGAAAAUGCAAACAUCUGGCAUUGGUAAGUCAAAGAACAUCCCAAGCAACAGCAUGUGUUUCUGAGACAACUUCCUGGGCCUGAUCCAGUAAAUCUUAGUUAGGAAUUAGUCAAGAGAAGCAUCCUGUAGACAGAUCAUGGACAUGUGCUAAAUCCCUGAUAACCUGCCAGUGCAUAAACACCCUCACUGAGUGCAUGUGUCAAUAGAUGCCAAGAAAGGAGAGAACAGAAAGGCCGAAAUGUGGCAUAAACAAAAAUAGACAUAUGGCAAGAGGUGGUUAUGACAAGCAUGUAGGUGUCAUAUAAAAAGUACCCAUUCUGCAAGUCAAAAGACUUUGCCAUAAGACUUAGUUAUCUAUUAUUUUACAGCUCUUUAAAACACACACUUUAUUUUAACACAUUAAAAAAAGCCCACAUAGGUUGGUAUCCAACUAAUUCAUUAAAUCAGCGCAAUGAUUUUUUGCUUGUGCAAAAGAACUUCCCAGCACACUCCCUAUGUGUGCCCCACACCUUCGCCUAAUAUGCUCUGGAGGGUAGGGGUGAACCAGAGCAAGUUUUGGAGUGGCAAAGGUGUAAGAAAGGAGAGAAGGUCCAUAGCACAAACAGAAAUCCUUGUGCUAAUGGAACAAAUUAGCUGGACACAGUCUAUAGUUUCUUGAAGGCAGAAUGUUUCCAUGAAAGCAACAUAACAUUCGUAUAAAGAUAAGGGAACUUAAAACCCACAACAAAACAGCAAUGUUUUUAUGGCAGGAAAUCACAACUAAAUAUAAAACUAAAUCAGAGUUAGUGAUCUAUGGCUGAAAGGCAAAGUUCUUGACAUUGUUGAUCCAGUUAAAACGGUGUUUUCCUUGCAUUAAUUUCCUAAGAAUUCUACCACACAACAAGUUUGUAACCAUGAAAAUACAUGGUCCAAAAGCUAAGGUCCAGGGGCAUGCAGAGUUGUGAACAUUAUAACCAUAACCUGUAUAUUUAAAAGGAAAUGACAAAUGACCGUUAAAAUGAAUAAUUGAAAAUUACAGAAAUAUGUAUGUGUUCACCCACAAAUAAGAAUUCAUGCCGGGGAAAAGUAUUGAUGCUAGAGCUUAAAGAUGACACCACUUGCUAGUUUGCAAUAGCUGAAGAGGAAACUCUUUGAGGACAUGGAUUGCACAAGCAUGACGCAGCAGCUAAAAAUAGAGGACAAGGGCCAAACUAGACAUGACAUGGCAGACCGUGCACAGGAUCUCCUUUUUUAAAAAAAAUAAUCUUUAUUGCUUUUAAAACUUACAAGAAAAGAAGAAAGAAGAAAAUAGGCGAAAGAAAAAGACAAAAUAGAGCAGAGAAGAAGAAAAAAAAGAGAGAAAGAAAAGAAAAAACAAUACAAUACAAUACAAUACAAUACAAUACAAUACAGUAAACAAUACAAAACACAACCUUAACACACUAAACUAAACAAAGCAAAAGAACAACAAUUUAAAAACAUAUAUCAUACCAUUUCAUUACUCUAUCUUUCAUUCCCUUAUUUCAUCGACCUCCUCUCACCUCCCUUUUUGUAUUCCACUUCUAUUACUUGUUUCAGCAAUUCCUUUCCAUCUUUCUCUAUUUUUAUCAUUAUGAAUAUCUUAACAUAUUUUGUACCUUAUUUUCCAUUAAUACUGAAAUACUUAUUUAUACCUAACUCCUUAUAACAUUUCUGCUAAAGCCAUAAAAUUUCAUUCCAACAAUUUUCUAACACUCAUUAAAUUUACAAUAUUUCUAUAUAUAAACUUUAAACUUUCCCAAUCUUCUACCACCAUCUCUUCUCCCUGGUCUCGGAUUCUGCCAGUCAUUUCCGUCCAUUCCAUAUAGUUCAUCAACCUGGAGAUCUUCUGUCCGAGGCUCUUAAAUCUUUUCCAAGUCCCUUCUGCAGUUUUUCUUCAUAUUCUUUGAUGCUGAGGGUGCUGAAGCGCAGGUCUUGGGGGGGCCCUGACCCAACCAUGCCCUCUCGACAGACCAACCAACUCUCCACAGCUAAAACCAGUGUCCAUACAAUAUCUCAAAUCAUGUUUCAAGGCUCCCCCAGAUCCAAAGGCCCCCACCACUCCAAUCACCUCCUGACCCAGAUUCAGGACCCAAAGGUCAGUAAAUCUCUGCAUGAAAGAGUCUAUCCAACCUUCCUUCUUCAAUCCAAACAGGGCUCCAAUCUUCAAAUUCUGACUUUUUCUAUAUUGAUUCAUAAAAGGCCUCCACUUAUAGUCCUCAGUUUGCCUCUGUAAAACUGGGGCUUCCACUUGUAUUAUUUUAGGUUUAACAACACCAACAUUCUCCUUCGUCUUCUCCCCAGUUUGUCCUGUCAAAGUAGGUUCCUGUGUCAAAUCCUGAACAAUUUCUGUUUUUAUGGUCACUUUUUGUUCCAAAUUAGUCACUUUUUGUUCCAAGUUCUCCAAGUUCUCAUAGCGUCCGUCUUCUUGUGGAGCUGUUCCAACGAAUAGCUUAUCUUACAUAAUACAGUCACUAAGACUCCUUCUGUCAACAUUCUUAAAGUCCAAGGUCGAUCUCUAUUUCACACAGUUCUUAUCUUGCAACUGGAAAAACCCCAGCUCCACUCUUGUAACUGUUUCAAAAGCUCCCUCUAGAGGGAAACAGUCUCCACUUGUAUCGAUCCUUUCAAACACAGUUUAAACUAUAAAGAUAGUUUCUUUUCCUACUUUUUAAACGCAGAUGAGUACAAUGGAAACAAUAUAUUUCUCUUAUUGCUAGCUGUCAAAAAACAUCACUCUUUCUGGCAGCCCAUUCCCAGGUUCGGAGCAGUGGUAAUUUGGUUUUUCACUCACUCCUGCAGGCUCACUAGGUCCAAAAUUUCCCCCCUCUUCUGCUUCCAAGGGGGGUUUAAUAGUUUUAACCGAUGGAGAUUUAAUCCUUUACAAAAAUAAACUUUCCAAGGCUUUAACUUGCAACUUCUUUGCUUCAAUCUGUUUACAAAAAAGGAAGGCAGACUUCCUGUUUAGAACCUUCCCGUUUCGAUGCCAAAUUAAUGAAUUUAAGGAUCUAAUUUUCCGUUCUACUCAUGGGUAGUUGUUUAAAAUCCACUUGUCCACAGGAAAAAGUCAGCGCUCUCCAGCAACAGCGAUGCGGCUUCACUCCGUGAAAGAAGCAGUCAAUUCGAAGCACCGCGCCACUCACCCUACUUUGCUCCGGAUCCCCAAAUCAGGGUUUUCCCGUGAGUAGGGGAGGCGCAAAGGGUGCCAGCCGAAUCCCAAGUUCACAGGCUUCUCCCGCCUGUGGUUUCAGUGGGUCUCCGCCUUCGCCGUGGCGGUCAGACCCUAAUUUCCACGGAGCAAAUUCCUCCCGAUCGGAGGAACUCCGCCAUUGCCUGGAGGCGCCAACCCGGAAGUCCGUGCACAGGAUCUCCUACAGGUUUGUUUUUCUAAAUGUUAGCAGCAGUCUUGGGGGAGGAGUGAUUCAAGUCAGACUCAUGUCCUAAAGAUAUUUUAUGCUUUUCUUGAAAUACAUUAUAAAACAGGGAAGCAAAAAAGAACAAAGAACUCCGGAUCCUAAAAAUAUAGAUUAUUGUAGGCCCAACAAUACAUAUUUUUAGCAAUAAUUCUCAUAAUAACAGUAUAAUUAUGUCAAUAACAGUAUAAUUAUGUGAAUAAUUCUCAUGUACAAGGAGAUACAUAGUUCUAGUUACAGGUAGGUAGCCGUGUUGGUCUGUUGUCUUUGUCCAUGGAGUUUUCUUGGCAGGGAUACUGGAGUGGCUUGCCGGUGAGAAAGCUAGAGAGUUCCUGAAAGACAUCUACUUCUGCUUCAUUGACUAUGCAAAAGCCAUUGACUGUGUCGACCACAGCAAACUAUGGCAAGUUCUUAAAGAAAUGGGAGUGCCUGAUCACCUCAUCUGUCUCCUGAGAAAUCUCUAUGUGGGACAAGAAGCUAGAACUGGGUAUGGAAUAACUGAUCGGUUCAAAAUUGGGAAAGGAGUAUGACAAGGCUGUAUAUUGUCUCCCUGCUUAUUUAACGUAUAUGCAGAAUUCAUCAUGCGAAAGGCUGGGCUGGAUGAAUCCAAGGCCGGAAUUAAGAUUGCCGGAAGAAAUAUCAACAACCUCAGAUAUGCAGAUGACACAACCUUGAUGGCAGAAAGUGUGGAGGAAUUAAAGAACCUUUUAAUGAGGGCGAAAGAGGAGAGCGCAAAAUAUGGUCUGAAGCUCAACAUCAAAAAAACGAAGAUCAUGGCCACUGGGCCCAUCACCUCCUGGCAAAUAGAAGGGGAAGAAAUGGAGGCAGUGAGAGAUUUUGCUUUCUUGGGCUCCAUGAUCACUGCAGAUGGUGACAGCAGUCACGAAAUUAAAAGACGCCUGCUUCUUGGGAGAAGAGCAAUGACAAACCUAGACAGCAUCUUAAAAAGCAGAGACAUCACCUUGCCAACAAAGGUCCAUAUAGUAAAAGCCAUGGUUUUCCCAGUAGUGAUGUAUGGAAGUGAGAGCUGGACCAUAAAGAAGGCUGAUCGCCAAAGAAUUGAUGCUUUUGAAUUAUGGUGCUGGAGGAGACUCUUGAGAGUCCCAUGGACUGCAAGAAGAUCAAACCUCUCCAUUCUUAAGGAAAUCAGCCCUGAGUGCUCACUGGAAGGACAGAUCCUGAAGCUGAGGCUCCAAUACUUUGCCACCUCAUGAGAAGAGAAGACUCCCUGGAAAAGACCCUGAUGUUGGGAAAGAUUGAGGGCACAAGGAGAAGGGGACGACAGAGGACGCGAUGGUUGGACAGUGUUCUUGAAGCUACGAACAUGAGUUUGACCAAACUGUGGGAGGCAGUGGAAGACAAGAUUGCCUGGCAUGCUCUGGUCCACGAGGUCAUGAAGAGUCGGACACGACUAAACAACUAAACAACAACAACAAAGCCGUGUUGGUCUGCCAUAGUCGAAACAAAAUAAAAAACUUCCUUCCAGUAGCACCUUAGAGACCAACUAAGUUAGUUAUUGGUAUGAGCUUUCGUCUGCAUGCACACUUCUUCAGAUAAACUGAAACAGAAGUCACCAGUGAGAGGGUGGGGAGGGGUAUUACUCAGAAGGGUGGUGGGAACGGGUGAUUGGCUGGUAGGUGUGGUUAAACUGUUGACUACUGUUAACGACUGCAAUUGGUCUUACAGGAAAAAGCAAGGGGUGAGAUAGCUAAAAAUAGCUUUAUCAUGUAUAAUGAGAUAAGAAUCCAAUGUCUCUAUUCAGACCAGAUCUCUCCAUGGUUUUAAGUUUGGUAAUGUGCUGGUCCCCGGGGGGGGGGGGGGUUACCGUGCGGCAUGUUCUGAGUCCGGUCCUGGGUCAAGCGUCUGGAAGCUGUCCGUUGAGGGUGAAGCGGGGUCCAAGACAAGGGGCUGGGCGUGGUCAGGAACUCAGAGAGAGCAGAUCAGAGUGCUGGCAGGAACAGGUUUCCAACGAUGUUGCUCCCGCAACCUGGGACUGGGCUGACUGGCCUGUAUCUCCUCUGAGGCCUAGGGCGGUCCCGGCCCACAGGUGACUCACCUCUCCUUGCCUUAAGGCGAGCACUCCUCCUGUGAGAACUUAGUUCCCUCCGCCUCUCUGCCCUGAGCCUCUGCAGCUCUGGAGAGGCUGGAAGGUUACUGGACCCAGAGGCAACCUCACCUUCCUCUGACAGGGCGGAGAGAGGCGCACCUGCAGGCAAUGGGUCCUCGAUCACCUCUGGAGCCAGAGCAGAUUCAGCUGGUGUCUGCUCCUGAGGAUCCGGCACAGGUGCAGGCACUUCAGAUUCAAGGCCCUGCCCCGGCUCAGCUGGUCCUGGAGGUGGGGACUCCUGUGCAGGCUGGGAUUCCUCCGGUUCAGCCUCUGAAUCAGAUUCCCAGGCCAUCACAGGUAAUAAGUUGCAAUUCAGCAACUUCUCUUUCCAAUCUAUUUCUGAAAUUCUUUUGUAAUAAGACAGCUACUUUGAGAUCUUGUAUAGAAUGUCCUGGGAGACUGAAGUGUUCUCCUACUGGUUUCACUGUCUUGUGAUUCCUCAUAUCAGAUUUAGGUCCAUUUAUCCUUUGGCAUCCCCUUCAUGGAUCACUGCCUUGCCAUGGUGAAGGGGCUUGAAUAACUCAGAGAAGCUAUGAACUAUGCCGAGCAGGGCACCCAAGAUGAACAGGUCAUAGUGGAGAGUUUUGAGCAAACGUGAUCCACCUGGAGGAGGAACCGGCAAGCCACUCCAGUAUCCCUGCCAAGAAAACUCCAUGGACAAAGACAACAGGCAUAUAAAAGUUAUGACGCUGGAAGAUGAGCCCCUCAGGUUGGAAGGUGUCCAACAUGCUACUGGGGAAGAGCGGAGGACAAGUACAAGUAGAUCCAGAGCUGAUGAAGCGGCUGGGCCAAAGCCGAAAGGACGCUCAGUUGCGGAUAUGCAUGGAAGUGAAAGGAAAGUCCAAUGCUGUAAAGAAAAAUAUUGCAUAGGAACCUGGAAUGUAAGAACCAUGAACCUGGGUAAGUUGGAUGUGGUCAAAAAUGAGAUGGCAAGAAUAAAUAUUGGCAUCCUGGGCAUCAGUGAACUAAAAUGGAUGGGAAUGGGCGAAUUCAGUUUGGAUGACUAUCAUAUCUACUACUGUGGGCAAGAAACCCAUAAAAGAAAUGGAGUGGCCCUCAUAGUCAACAAAAGAGUGGCGAAAGCUGUACUGGGAUGCAAUCUCAAAAAUGAUAGAAUGAUCUCGAUACGAAUCCAAGGCAGACCUUUUAACAUCACAGUAAUCCAAGUUUAUGCACCAACUACUGGUGCUGAAGAAACUGAAAUUGACCACUUCUAUGAAGACUUACAAGACCUUAUAGAAGUGACACCAAAGAAGGAUGUUCUUCUCAUUAUAGGGGAUUGGAAUGCUAAAGUAGGGAAUCAAGAGAUAAAAGGAACAACUGGCAAGUUUGGCCUUGGAGAGCAAAAUGAAGCAGGGCAAAGGCUAAUAGAGUUCUGUCAAGAGAACAAGCUGGUCAUCACAAACACGCUUUUCCAGCAACACAAGAGACGACUCUACACAUGGACAUCACCAGAUGGGCAGCAUCGAAAUCAGAUUGAUUAUAUUCUCUGCAGCCAAAGAUGGAGAAGCUCAAUACAGUCAGCAAAAACAAGACCUGGAGCUGACUGUGGCUCAGAUCAUCAGCUUCUUAUAGCAAAAUUCAAGCUUAAACUGAAGAAAGUAGGAAAAACCACUCGGCCGGUAAGAUACAAUCUAAACCAAAUCCCUUAUGAAUACACAGUGGAAGUGAGGAACAGGUUUAAGGAUUUAGAUUUGCUGGACAGAGUGCCUGAAGAACUAUGGGUGGAGGCUCGCAACAUUCUACAGGAGGCAGCAACUAAAACCAUCCCAAUGAAAAAGAAAUGCAAGAAAGCAAAGUGGCUGUCCAACAAGGCCUUACAAAUAGCAGGGGAGAGAAGGCAAGCAAAAUGCGAAGGAGAUAGUGAAAGAUACAGGAAAUUGAAUGCAGAUUUCCAAAAAAUAGCAAGGAGAGACAAGAAAGCCUUCUUAAAUGAGCAAUGCAAAGAAAUAGAGGAAAACAACAGAAUGGGAAGAACCAGAGAUCUGUUCAAGAAAAUCGGAAAUAUGAAAGGAACAUUUCGUACAAAGAUUACCAUAAUAAAGGACAAAAGUGAUAAGGACCUAACAGAAGCAGAAGACAUCAAGAAGAGGUGGCAAGAAUACACAGAAAAAUUAUACCAGAAAGAUAUGGAUGUCUCGUACACCCCAGGUAGUGUGGCUGCUGACCUUGAGCCAGACAUCCUGGAGAGUGAAGUCAAAUUGGCCUUAGAAAGCAUUGCUAAUAACAAGGCCAGUGGAAGUGAUAUUAUUCCAGCUGAACUAUUUAAAAUUUUAAAAGAUGAUGCUGUUAAGGUGCUACACUCAAUAUGCCAGCAAGUUUGGAAAACUCAGCUGUGGCCAGAGGAUUGGAGAUCAGUCUACAUCCCAAUCCCAAAGAAGGGAAGUGCCAAAGAAUGCUCCAACUACCGCACAAUUGCACUCAUUUCACACCCUAGCAAGGUUAUGCUUAAAAUUCUACAAGGUAGGCUCAACCAGUAUGUGAACUGAGAACUCCCAGAAGUGCAAGCUGGAUUUAGAAGAGGCAGAGGAACCAGAGACCAAAUUGCAAACAUGCGCUGGAUUAUGGAGAAAGCUAGAGAGUUCCAGAAAGACAUCUACUUCUGCUUCAUUGACUAUGCAAAAGCCUUUGACUGUGUUGACCACAGCAAACUAUGGCAAGUUCUUAAAGAAAUGGGAGUGCCUGAUCACCUCAUCUGUCUCCUGAGAAAUCUCUAUGUGGGACAAGAAGCUACAGUUAGAACUGGAUAUGGAACAACUGAUUGGUUCAAAAUUGGGAAAGGAGUACGACAAGGCUGUAUAUUGUCUCCCUGCUUAUUUAACUUAUAUGCAGAAUUCAUCAUGUGAAAGGCUGGGCUGGAUGAAUCCGAAGCUGGAAUUAAGAUCAUCGGAAGAAAUAUCAACAACCUCAGAUAUGCAGAUGACACAACCUGAUGGCAGAAAGUGAGGAGGAAUUAAAGAACCUUUUAUUGAGGGUGAAAGAGGAGAGCGCAAAAUAUGGUCUGAAGCUCAACAUCAAAAAAACGAAGAUCAUGGCCACUGGGCCCAUCACCUCCUGGCAAAUAGAAGGGGAAGAAAUGGAGGCAGUGAGAGAUUUUACUUUCUUGGGCUCCAUGAUCACUCCAGAUGGUGACAGGAGCCACGAAAUUAAAAGACGCCUGCUUCUUGGGAGAAAAGCAAUGACAAACCUAGACAGCAUCUUAAAAAGCAGAGACAUCACCUUGCCAACAAAGGUCCGUAUAGUAAAAGCUAUGGUUUUCCCAGUAGUGAUGUAUGGAAGUGAGAGCUGGACCAUAAAGAAGGCUGAUCGCCAAAGAAUUGAUGCUUUUGAAUUAUGGUGCUGGAGGAGACUCUUGAGAGUCCCAUGGACUGCAAGAAGAUCAAACCUCUCCAUUCUUAAGGAAAUCAGCCCUGAGUGCUCACUGGAAGGACAGAUCGUGAAGCUGAGGCUCCAAUACUUUGGCCACCUCAUGAGAAGAGAAGACUCCCUGGAAGACCCUGAUGUUGGGAAAGAUGGAAGGCACAAGGAGAAGGGGACGACAGAGGAUGAGAUGGUUGGAUGGUGUUCUUGAAGCUACCAGCAUGAGUUUGAUCAAACUGCGGGAGGCAGUGGAGGACAGAAGUGCCUGGUGUGCUCUGGUCCAUGGGGUCACGAAGAGUCGGACACGACUAAACGACUAAACAACAACAUCCUUUGGCAUAGGGUUUAGCCUGUUUGUCCAAUAUAGAGAGCUGAAGGGCACUGUUGGCAUUUGAUGGCAUACACAAUGUUAGAAGAUGAGCAAUUAAAUAGGCCUGAGAUGGUAUGUUUGAUUUGUUGGGGCCAGUAAUGGUGUUGUCCUGGUGUAUGUGGCAGCAAAGUUGGGAACUGGCUUCCAAUAUAUAUAGAAUUCUACUUAGCAUAGAAUCAGCCUCUUCUUAGGGGCUACAAUUAGUGUGGGAGAAUGAUCUGGAUCUCUGGAUGAGGAAAUAAGUACAGGAAGCGAUGUGGUCUAAACCCCCACUUGAAACGAUUUCUGUAAGAAUACAGGAACGCAUGCUGAAAACAGUGUUAAGAUGACAUUGGAUUACACUCUGCUUAUCGAGGGCGCCGCUAGGGGCGCCUUGGAAGAUGGCUGACAAUACCAUCUCUCCGGCUCACACGAGGUAAUUAAGGGGCUGAUGAUGGGAGUAAAUCAGCCUCCCAGGGUCUCCCCAGGGGAUGGGGAGACACAGCCUCGUCCAAGGUUGCCAAUAAAUCACCCCCGAGUUCGAAAGAAGGAGGGGUGGGGGCACUGGACGGAAAGCCCUCGAGUGAGAUUCUGGAUCUCCCAGACGCUGCUUCUGAGUGCGACCUAGUUGCAUUGCUUAAGAUAAAAUAAUUGGAUGUAAAAAGUAAAUGCACAUGUUUCGAGCAAAGGAAAGGGUGUUUUAUCUGCUAAUCAAAUCUACCGCUGAGAAGUUAAGAGUGAUGGGAUGGAUUGAACAGAAGACUACGGCAAAGAUCACAGCUAUGUCGGUAUGUUGAAACGGAACGGAAGGGAGGGGGAAAACUUCUUCUUUUUCAAUAUGUUUUACCUAACAACCCCUCCCCUAGAAGAACCGUCACAAUGAUUUAUAGCAAGUGAGACUGGAAAAUAAACUGUGUGGAAACAAAGAUUAAUUAAAGGCUUUGCUUUGUGGAAGAUUUGGAAAGGAAACAAAAGGCUUUUUUGGUGACGCAGUCAUAAAUCGGGAUCCGCCAUUAUGAGACAGACUUUGUUGCGAGAUUUACAGUCAAAGGGGGAGGUGAGCCACUGUUCUGCUAUCUUGUUUGGAUUAUAUGUCUAUUUGGCAAUAUCCCCCCUGGAAAGACUGAUUUAUGGAGCAACUGGUCUGGGAAAAUUAAUGAGCAGACGCUUAGACUUUAUUUCAUCGGAACUGUCGAAAUGGCGCCUGCCGUGCGAAUAAGACUUUUGGAUCAACGUGUAAGCCCACACAGAAACAUAAUAUUGUUUGCUUCAUCUCGCUUGUAGAAACAACUCAGAGGUUAUUUAGAAGAAAAAUGAUAACAACGAGAAGAGUGGAAGCUGGGACUUGUGAAAUAUUAAAGCAGCAGAAAUAUGAGAUGAUUGGACCCUUUCUGAACUCGAAGCAUGGGUACCCCCAACAAAAAUUUAAAAUUCGGCAAAAUAUUUGGAUUUUUAUGAUAUGUAUUGGUUUAAUUUGGAGUAAUUAAUGUGAUAUGAUUGGAUUGUUAAAUGGAAAACUAAUAAAAAUAUUUUUUUUAAAAAAAAAGGAUUACACUGCGCUUAUCCAGAAAUGGCAACGGUUGCUUUAAUUUAUGUUGUUGGGGUUGUGGUCACACUAGAACAUUGCUUCAUAUGUGGUGGGAUUGCUUCAGUUCAGAGAUUCUGGACCCAAAUUUUUGACACUAUUUCCACCAUCACCUCUCAGGUACUGUCUCCAGACCCAGCCCUGGUGCUCCUGUCCUUGGAGCCUGGUACCAGCUCACCCAUCAUGCACAAAUCUCUUGCGUUUAUGCUACUUACUGCAGCCAGAAUGCCAGUGGCUUCCCAUUGGAAAUCCAAUUCACCACCUUCCUGAGAGGAGUGGCCUGCGAAAGUAUGGGAUAUUGCACUGCCAAAACACCUGGCGCACAAACGGAGAGUCCUUAAUAGUUCAUCAAAAAUAGACUACUUUUAUUUGACUUGGUAUAAGUUUUUCUCUUGUGCUAACUAGUUUGCACAGCCCAAUAAACCCCUUGCUCCAUAUAUAAAUAUGUUGAGAGGCUUUAUCCAGAACUAAUUUGACUCACCUUUUUCUUCUUGUAUGUGAUAAAUGUACGUGGCACUGCAUUCUCAGUUUUAACCUGGUUUUCCCCUCUCAUUUUAUUUUUGUUUUUAUUUUUUACAUUCAUUAUUCUUACUGCAUUUCAUAUGCACAUGUCAAUAACCAUUCUUUAUGAAAAAUGACCAUAAUAAUAAAGUUUCUUAUUCAAAAUGAAAAACUCUUUAAUAUGUGAUACUGAAGUAUCCUUUUGGUCACAAUAUAAUGCAAAAUAUGCCAGCUUUCGGAGGUGCAUCUUUUGGACUCCAGUGCUCCUGUGAAAUUCUGAUGCUUCCCUAGCAACUUGCUAGAGCAGCAAACGGAUGAUAUCAUUGCUCUUCUGCAGUGCACACUGUUUUUUCAUAAUAUGGAUAAGCCAGCCAAAGAAAUCGCCUGCACUGCAAACCACUUCUUAAAGUCAUACAUUGUUUUGAUGAACCCAAAAUAAGCAGGAUGAUGUUCUGAAUCUCUGUAUCCCAGUUUUGCUGUCACUGCACUCAAUAGGGCUUAAACAGAGGCUAGGCUCCCCACUCUACCCGUUUACUCCUGAAUGUGAGUUUAGUUUGAAAUCCCAGCUUUGGAAGGGAAGCAUGCCAUCUAACAGGAGAAAUGUAGGAAAGGAAAACAAAUUUGUAAUGCUCAGCUCUGCCUUGAUACCAAAAAGAAACAAUCCAAGAAUCCUUAUUCCAUUUCUGUGAAGCAACUAGGGUUACAUUAACAGUUUGUCCUUUAAAAGCAUGUUUGCUCAGAUUUUUAAGUGUUUGUGUUUUCAUAUAAACAGGAAACAAAAUCCUAAAUAGCUCAAAUGAAACCAAAUCCUAUGACUUUUUAAAAUUAAAAACAAAAUCAAUCUCUCUCCUCUCUUUCCCCUAUAAGUGUGUGGUUCCUGAGACAAAGUGGGCUGGAUAAGUUCAACCUCAGUUCACAGAAGAGAACAUUCUGUUCUCUGCACAACAGGCAGGACUGCUGUAAAACAAGAUCAACAACAUGAGCUCAGCAGCAGCAGAAGCCCCACAAUAGAGACGGAGAAUUAGUCAGAGGAUUGCUCCAUCUACAUUGGAAACACACAGAGACAGGAGUGCACAUGGAUGUGAGAUCAAGGUCAGUGAAUUAGCUGACUUUCUGCCCUAGGAGCUGUAUUGUUGUUCUCCACUUGAAAGGGCUUCUCCCCUCCUCCCUCAAUUUAAUUACAGCUAAGGCAAGCCCAAGGAAACAAUUCUCUGCCCAGUCACAAUACGCUCACAUGUGCUUUGUGCAGAAGGCAGUUAAAGUGCGUCAGUAUUUUUUGUGUCACACGUCUCUGAGUGCUGGAUUCCACCAAGAUUUUUCACUGCCCUAUCUUAAUCUCAUUGAUUUCAGUGGGAUUGCACAAAAUAAUUCAACACAGAAUUCACCGGGUUAGUGUUUUGGAUUAAAAUGGACAAGAAUCUGUUUCCUUUACAAAUGGAGAUAAAUAUUUUACUGUCCCUUCCAAGCCCUCAUCUGUUCAAUUAAACCUAUUAGCUACCACAUCUUAACCUUUAUUAUUCAGAAUGGUCAGUGAUUAACUGUUCACACACUUCCAAGACCUUGCCAAAGGUCAGAAGCAAUAUGAACCUUAUUAUAUGUCUUGCAUCUUAAAAUCCGUAUUUGCAGAUGCAUUCAGAUGCCAUGCAUGAGCUUAUCCCACACUGAUGUUGCACAUUCAGCACAGCUUUGCAAAGCAGUUGGAAGAAUGGUCUCUCGAAGGUGGCGUGCACAUAAUCCAUCCUAUGUAUUUAUUCUUAAAAGGCCUAGGGCUGCUCCAAGACACUUUGCUGCUUGCAGCAAGGGGCAAGAUAGAAAAAAACCCUCCCCAAAUUCCACAUACAGAAACUGAGUGCACUGACAGAUGAAUCUUACUUCAGUGCUGUUGACACGACAGGGUCCUCUACUAGGGUCCUCCGCUGCACCUGAGAGCAGCAGACUAGCAUAGGGAGCAUAGGAUAGCCCAGGUGGCCCCUCUUGCCACUCCCUGCCACUCAGCAUCCACCACCUGAAGCUGCCUCGCUCUGCCUGAAUGGUAGGGCUGGCCUUGAACAGAGGCAGUUCUAAAAGCUGCUGCUUCUGUUACACAAUACUGUAACUGCAUCCUAGUCAGUUCCAUAUAGCAAGCAGAGAGAUAAUCAAAGACCAGGGCUUGGGCUGCGAGAGGCGAUUGGCUGCAUAGGCACAUCGUAUCCUGUGACUGGCCUGGCCACAGUAUAAAGUAGGUAUUUUAGAUGUUCAAAAACCACUAGUGUGUAAUAAUCAUUUUUGAAAAUUUACAGAAUGCAUUGACAUUUCCUGCCAGGAAUUCGUGAGGCAGCUCUUACAAUGUGUUUCCUUUAAAAAAUAAAAUGGGAGUGUUGGAAGUUAGGUGAAACAAGGGAAGUUGUCAUCCUCCCUUGUGACCUUUCCAUGCAAAUUGUAACAAAUCUCUACCCCAGCAGGCACCAGAUGUAGCAUGAAGCUCUGACAGCCUUCUUCCUCACAAACUAACCAAUCUUUUCUGUCUUUGCAUGCCUUGCAAAUCUGGGUGCAAGGGCUAUAGAAGGCAAACAUUCCAAGCUAUGAAGAGGAGUGAGGGAAGAAAUCCUGUGUAACAAGAAUUGGAAGCGGCAUGCCUUUUUUUUCCAAAAUUGCAACUUGAGGAUGUCACUGCGGUUGUUAUCACGAAAGCUCAGAAUCCUGUCAAUCACAGUCAGGACCAAUUUGGACAACAGUGCUCCCCACAAGGAGCCCUCAGAACACCUAACCCAGCAGGAGGCUAAGGAAAGGCUUAUGCAUUUUCUCUUCCUCUUUUUCCAGGCUGCCUGUGCUUUCUAGCCUCACAUCCCUCAACAAUAGCAGGCACUGAACAAAUAGAGUGCAUGACAGGGGCUACAGGAAAUGGAGCGCAGAGAUAGGUGCCAUCAGUAUAACAACAGCCCCAAAUUCCAGGUUCCUCCUGAUCUUGUCCAACGACAUCAUAUACACAGAGAUGAUAUGUAAGAGGUGGUGAUCUGACCACUCCUGAAAAAACCAACCCUGGACCCAGGGCUUUGUGGCUGCUACUGCCGGCUCGCAAAUACCCCAUUUCCAGGACAUGGGAUUGGAAGGGUUGUGGUGCAACAGCUGCAAUGAAACCAGUUCUCUGGACCCGUUCCAACAGGGAUUCAAGCCUGGUCAUGGAAAUGAAUUGGCCUUGGUCACCCAGAUAGAUGGCCUUCGUAGAGAGGACAGGAAGAAUAUGACCCUGCAAUUCUUACUUGGUCUUUCAGAGGUUUUUGAUACCAUUGACCAAGGCAAAGGCACAGCAUGGGAGGGGCGAAGGGGACCGUUGCCCCAGGCACAGUUUUUCCCAGGGCACGUUUUGCUCCUCACACCACCCCUGCCAGCCCCGCGCUGCUUUGCCAGCGUGGGGCUGCCAGGGCAUCAGGAGGAUGCAAUAGGCAUGUGCCCUUCCCAUCAGUUGGAUUGGGCGGAUUGGAAGGGUGCUUGCCUACCCUGCUGACCCUCCUCACAUUGCCCUCUGUGCCCCGCCCCGCCCCCAGCACAACUGGACAAGCCCACCUCAGACACUGGGAAGAUGCGCUUCGCCAGUGGACUAGGGUAGCCUCCCAAACCAACAGUGUAAGACGGGUAUUGGGGACACUGUUUUGUAGUGACUAAAGUCCUGUCUCCAGAGUUGGUUUCAAAUAAUAGUGUUGGGUGGUUAUCUCUUGGCCCCCUGGCAGUUGUGCUGUGGGGUCUCUGGGGUAGCAUCCUGUCCCUGAUGCUGUUGGAGAGAGAGGUUUGGAAGAGAGAUUCUUUACUCUCUUAUAGCAGAAUUAAGCACAAUGACAAGUGCUACCAAGCACAUUAAAACUUGGUUAGAUUUACAUCUGCCCUCAUCCACCUUUAAACAAACAUUCUCCACAAAAAUACUUAGGCUAGAAUAAAUCGCCAGCACCUAGUAUUGCAAAUAAGUGAAGAUUUUACUCAUAGAGUUUCAGGAGUUACAGCAGACAAGUCUCCAUCUGUUGGCAGUAAAACAAAGAUAAAAUGAUUCCAAAUGCUUCAAAAGAAAGGACUUGGUUUCCUUGCAAAAAAGAUCAUGCAAUCUUUGGGUUAGCAAAAUCAGGCUAUGAAAAUCUAUUUUUGGAGAGAUCCAGUUCAUUUGGCUUUUCCUGCAGAUGAGAGUCUUGCUGCAGCUUGUUCUAGGAAGCAGAGAGAAAAGGAAAGGGGGUGGGAAGCAAAGGCUGCUGGGAUCCUGUUAAGCUCCACCCGCAGGCAACUUGAGCUCUAGGUUGGAUUGCUGCAAUGUGCUUUGUGUGGGGCUGCCGUUUGAGGUUGACUUGGAAGCUGCAACUAGGGUAAAGUGGGGAGCUCCAUUGCUCACUGGAGCAGAAUAUCAGCAUCCUCUGACCCCACUGCUCCAAGAUUUGUAUUGGCUGUCAAUUAGCUACUGGGUAAGGUUCAAGGGGCUAGUUUUGGUAUACAAAGCCCUAUACAGCUUGGGACCGGGAUACCUAAGGGGCUGCAUCCCCUAUAGACAGUCAAACAUGGCAUUCUGCAGGAAAGGGCAUCCUGCAGAGACCAUCCUACCGAAAGGUCUGUUCUGCAUGAUGUCAGAAUUGGGCUCUUUCCUUUGGAGCGCCUUCCCUUUGCACAACAGACAAGCACCUUCUCUAUUAUUUUUUUAGCACCUGCUAAGGAAAUUACUCUUUCAACAAGCCUUCUAAAAUCUUAAUCCCAGUUGGUAUCUGUCAUGGAUUUACAUGAUUUUAUACAUGUGUUAUUGUUGUUUUAAACUGUUUUUUAUUUAUAAUUUUGAUUGUUUGCAUAUAUACAAUUGUGUUAACUGUUUUUUUUUAUGUGUGCAACACUUUUAUAUAUGUGCUUAUAUUGUAAAUCGCUUCAGGAUGCCACAUGGGAAGCAAUUCAUAAAUGAAAUGAAAUUUAUAAAUAAUAGAGGAGAUUAAGAAAAGAACUUGCAAAAUAUAUCAAGAUAGUUGACAAGCGCCAUGCUUGAGUACAUCCCAUCGAGGAAAUAUCAGUGCUUAAACAGAGGAAGAACCAAGUUCUACCAUGUGGCUUUGACCUGGCAAAAUGCAGUCAAACUUGUAACAUACUCAUUCCUGCGCUACUACCAAUCCAUCCACACACACCAAAUUUGUGGGCGAUACUUCUUGAAACUAAGCCCAGAUAGAAGGCUGUGUUUUACACAUUAAAUGUGCAGUUCUGACUCACCCGUUGCACAGAAUUCAUGUUCCUUUUCUCAGGGAGGUUCUUCCAUUUUUUAGAGACUACACUUUUACAACACUUGUAUAUUUGUGAUAGUGAAUGUGGCUUAAAAUUCCUGAUUCCUACCACAUUGUAAGCUUUGUUAAAGUAAUUUUAAACUAAGCUAAGCUUUUCCCAUUCCUCCUGCCAUUUUGCGAACAUUUUGCUGUUGUAAUAUUCAUUCUUAUUUCUGUUAAUUUUUUGAAGGCUGCAUAUUUCCCCUCUGCAGCACUAGAUCAUACAUCUUUCCCUGUUUUUCUGUUUUUUUAAGUGAGUCAGCUAUUCCCUGCAGCAAGUCUGCUUCUCCUUUCCUCUCCAUUAGAGGAAAGUCGGAGGACAGCAUCCUCCUGGUGCUGGGUUGGAGUUACUGUUAAUUCUCUAAUCAAAUCGCAGCUCAAGCGUCAAGAAAAAUAUACAAGCAAUUCUGUCUGCAAGAUCAGUACACACGGAAAAUUGUUAAAGUAGGCAGAUGACAACUUAGCUAGAAGGAGAAAGCAGCCAGAAUUUGCUGGGUAUUCACCACACAGAACAGUUCUGACAGAUGACACUUCCCCAUUGCAAUGGCAACGAAGACAUUCUUACAUUACUGUCAGUGCUGUGGAAAAGCUUUUUAAGAUCUCUCCUGCAAUUGGUUGGCUUCAAUGCAAAUUGAGAGCCACCUGCCUGCUAGAUGUCCACCUUUCCACUUCACUCCCCUUGGCUCUUCCACUGCAGAGCCCUGGUGCAGUGAAGAAUUAAAGCUCUAGGCUUCUUCACAUGGCACAAACAUUCUAGGGAUGAAAAUGCCCAUCCUGGCAUCCAUAAAAGGUGGUGGGUAUGUUUAAGGGUAUGUGUCUGAUAUCAGACAGACGGAGCCAGUGCUAGCAGGAGCUGAUCAGGAAGAGCAAACAGUCAUUCAUGUGCUAUGGAUUUUGGAGGGAGCAUUUACUGAGCCCUUUCAUGGGUGCUAUAGGAGGCACCGGUGGGAACAGCUCAGAAUGCAGGCACCACUCCGGCGACUCCGGCAUAGGUAAAUGAGCCAUUAAAAUGUCUGUCCUUUAGCUCUGCCCGUCAUUUCACCCUACCAGGUCAGAGUUUGAUCUGAGCAUGGUCAUUAUCACUCUUUUGAUUCAUGUCAUGCCUGUGUACCUUGGGCCUGGCAUUAGUGUUUGGCAUUUCUAGGUAUCUGUCAAUGUCCAUCGCUGAAUAGAGUGAGAGGAGUUAGCCUGUUUCUGCUCCCCCACAGAAACCAGCCAGCUCUGCACAGCCCCCAAAUGUCUGGAAAAGGCAGUGGGACUAGGACAGUGGGACAUUGCUCUUGUUGAAAAAUGGGAAAUGGUCCCAGAGGCCCCUAAGAUGAAGCAGAAACUACUGGGUUGAUCUCCCAUUUCCUUAUUAGAGAAGCACCUAGCAACAGCAGAGGAUGACACUUCAUACCCGCCAACAUUUCUCCGAUGAAAAUAGGGACGUCCCAUUCCAUGAUGACCAUUUUACUGUAUACCCUAGCCACUCUGGGCAGCUUCCAACAUAUAUAAAAACAUUAAACAUUAAAAAAAAUCCUUCCCUAUACAGGAUUGCCUUCAGACAGCUUGGGGGGUUGGAUAACUCCAUACCCUCCAACAUUUCUCCAAUGAAAAUAGGGACAUCCAAAGGAAAAGCAGGAUAUUCUGGGAUCAAAUCAGAAACUGGGAGAGCUUCUAUAAAUCAGGGACAUCUAAGGAAAAUAGCGACACUUGGAAAGUCUGACACUUUUGCACUCCUUUGGGCCCUUCCAGCAUCCAACUCCCUAUUUCAAAGUGUUAAUAUCACAAUAAGUUAAGCGGUAGCAAAACCAAAAGAAAUACAUGACAUUUGUUUCCUCUUCUGACACUGGGUGCUGCUCUCAUUGGGAAAUAGGGGACUCCACCACCACCCCAGUGUUAUUACAGGAACGAUGGAGGUGAUCAGAGGGAGUGGAGCCCAAAAGAGUGAGCCUUUCACUUUGCUUCCUUCAGCCCCUUUGUCUAGGAAACUAGAGAUUGCCUUGGGAAGCGUACCUGGUGGCUGAGUGACAAUGCAGCCUCCUCGCAUUUUAAUGGGGGAUGAGUGAACAUAGGUAGGACCCCACAGUAUACAUUAGAGUUCAUUCUAGAAACUUUAUAUUAUUGAAGUUAUUCACAGGGUUGCAUCAAGUUUUUGCAGCUCAUGUGAUAUAAAUGCAAACCACUUUUGUCUGUUCAUCACACUUUUCAUGUGCAGCCACUGUAUUUAAAAAUGCCACCUCCUCUUUCCAUUAUUGACUGUCAUCUGCUUCCACUGACUUGGCAAACCCACAGGAAGGCUUUGAUCAUGUUCAGACGGGGGAGGAGGGAAAGAACCGUAUUCUGUUCACCCUUCUUCAUGUGAAUGGAUUAUCUUCUGUAUGAAUACUGUUGCCACAUUAGUACCCAAAUAUUCAUAAUUAAUUUCUGGAAGUAUCCAUGUUUUGAUUUCUGCUUCAAAGGGAUUCUUUCAAAGCAGUUUUCUUUGCUGCUUUUAUCAUACCCAAAUGAUGUACAGCCUGAGUUCUAGAGAUGCUCUUUUGAAACGAAGGGCUUUCCCCUAACAUCAGUGCACUAGGGGAAACACGGCACGAUCCAGCCAAGUUAAGCAUUAAGCCCGACUAAACUCAGUGAGAGUGCACGGAUCAGUGGCAGUUAGAAUUGCUUUCCUUUGAAUGGACCGUCCCCAUAAUGAAUAUGUUCUUUUGUAAACCACCUUGGUUAGUCUCUCUCCCCACCAUGCCCCAAUAUUUACUCAACCUCAGUCUUGGUUUCUGUGUUUCCUUUGUAGGUGUAAAGCUAAAGGAAUUUGUCAGGGGGCUGCCAGCUUUCAGAACCAACACACAUGGCAAAAACUGCAGGUCUACAAUAAAUGAGAACUGACUUCACAGAGACACUUUGAUUUAUACUACCCCCCCACACACACACACAAAUUUUCCAGGUUCUUAAAUUCUAGCAACACUAAAACAAUUUAUUCUGCUUGCAAAAGAUGAUUUAUUCCAAGUAUUGUUGUGGCAUUGCAUAAAGCAUUACACAUAUGCAGGGCUGGCCCAGAACAUUUCGUUGCCUGAGGCAGAGCACCAAAUGGCAUCCAGCAACCACCCACCCACCGAUCAAGUCAUGGUGUAAAGGUUCCAAGGCCAGCCAAGUUAUUUUGGCACCUGGGUCUGAACAUCCCACAAGAACCUCUCCCCCUCCCUGGCAGAAAAACACAACAACAAUAAAUAAAAUAACUCACAAUUUUCUACCUUUUCAUAGCACCCAAAAUCCACAGAAAUUGACUAGACCAUGAAGGUUAUGCCACAAUAAAUUUCUUAGUCGUUUUAAAGUAGCACCCAUUGUUUUGCUAGAAUACAUGGUGUUCCCCUAAAUCCUUAUUGCCCAAGUACUACUAGCUUCUUGUUCUGAAAUCCAAAUUGUGAACACAGGAACACAGUACUAAUUUCAAAGGUUUACCGUAUUUUUCGCUCUAUAGGACGCACUUUUUCCCCUCCAAAAAUGAAGGGGAAAUGUGUGUGCGUCCUAUGGAGCAAAUGCAGGCUUCAGGAAGCUAUCCGCAAGCCUUCGGAGCGCGGCGGGCACUCCCGCCGCGCUCUGAAGGCUUGUGGAUAGCACCCUGCAACCCGAAGCCCGGGGAGCGCAGCGCCAACUCCCGCUGUGCACCCCGGGCUUCAGACAGCUAUCCACAAGCCUUUUCUUUAUUCCCCACCCCUAAAAUCUAGGUGCGCCCUAUGGUCCGGUGCGCCCUACAGAGUGAAAAAUACGGUAUUCUCAUUUCACUUUUUAAUAUGUGUACUUUUUAAUAUGUGUUUCACACAGCCUCUUCUGACUCAUGGAGCGGAAGAGCUAUGUAUAAUCAGUGUACCGAUGACAUCUUGAUCCAAAACUCUAAAGGAGCACUCCCACUGGCUUCAUAUGCACAUUAUAGGAACACGGGUGGUGCUGUGGUCUAAACCACUGAGCCUCUUGGGCUUGCGAAUCAGAAGGUUGGCAGUUCGAAUCCAUGCGACAGGGUGAGCUACCGCUACUCUGUCCCAGCUCCUGCCAACCUAGCAGUGCGAAAGCACGCCAGUGCAAGUAGAUAAACAGAUACCGCUGUGGUGGGAAGGUAAAUGUUUUUUCCGUGCGCUCUGGCUUCCAUCAUGGUGUUCCAUUGUGCCAGAAGCGGUUUAGUUCUACUGGCCACAUGUCCUGGAAAGCUGUCUGUGGACAAAUGCCGGCUUCCUCAGCUUGAAAAGUGAGCUGAGCGCAGCAACCCCAUAGUCGCCUUGGACUGGACUUAAACAUCCAGGGGUCCUAUACCUUUUUACAUAUUGAACAGCACUGGGGAGAAAACAGGAUGAUGUGGAACCCCAUAGCAAAAGUGCCAGAGGGCUGAGGAACACUCACCCAGCCAAUCGACUUCCGGGUUAGCGCUUCCGGCAAUGGCGGAUUUCCUCUGAUCGGGAGGAAUCCGCUUCCUGAGAAUUAGGGUCUGGACCGCCACGGUGAGGCGGAGACCCACCAAAAACCACAGGCGGGAGAAGCCUGUGGACGUGGGAUUCGGCUGGCACCUUCUGCGCCUCCCCUACUCGCGGGGAAACCCGGUUUCGGGGAUCUGGAGCGACGUGGGGUAAAUGGCGCGGUGCUUCGAAUCGACUGCUCUUUUCACGGAGUGAAGCCGCAUUGCUGUUGCCGGAGAGCGCUGACUUUUUCCUGUGAACAAUUGGAUUUUAAUCAACUGCCCGUGAGUAGAACGGAAAAUCGGACUAUGAAACUUCUUAAUUUGGCACUGAAGCGGGAAGGUCUAAACAGGAAGUCUGCCUUCCGCUUUUGUAAAUAGAGUGAAGCAAAGACAUUGCAAGCUAGAGUCUGGAAAGUCGUUUGUAAAGGACUAAAUUUCCAUCAGUUAAAAUUACUAAACCCCCCUUGGGAGCAGGAGAAGAGGGGGGAAAUCUUAGACUGUUUAAACCUGCAGAAGAGAGAUAAUUUCCAUUGUCUUGAACCUGGGAGCGGGGUGUCAGAGACAGACGUUUUGGGGAAGUUCAUUGACUGUGGAUAAAACAUUCUUUUUUUUGACAGAUAGUUAAAAAAGAGAAACAUUUUGAUUCCAAUGUUCCCUUUUGCACUUAAAAGGAACAAAAUAUCUGAAAAAAGAAAUAAAUUUUGUUGCAGGAUCUGCUUUAAAAAAAAAAAGACGGAUACAAACAGAAAUUGUUUCCUCUAGAGGGAGCUUGUGAAACUGUUGCUGGAGUCGAUCUGGGGAUUUCCACAGUUCUAGAGAUUAAGAUCGUGACACCAGACAUUGACCUUGAACAAGAAUGUGCCCAGAAGAAGCUUUAGUGCUUGCUUUUUGCAAGACAAGUGCUUUACUGGAACAGUUACAUGAGAAGAUGGAUUUGAUGACUGUUGCAGUUGGCAAAUUUGGACAAACAGUGAAUACUCAUAUAAAAACCACUCAGGAAUUGGUCCAGGAAUGUGCCUUGGCAGGGCAAGUUGUGAGGAAGAUGGAGGAGGAGGUUGUUGCUGGUGGAAGUGGAGAGAGCUGUGGCCUUGCAGGAACAUAGGUUGUUGUUUCUGACGACUGAACCUGGAGAAAGUCAGAUUUGGAGAGAUGGAGUACUGUUUGGUUUGGAGAUGGGAAGUUGGAUAGACCCCCCCUAUGCAGGGAUGUUUUGACUUCUCGGAUUUGGUUUUGGGUCAGGGGGAGUUUGGAGUUGUGGGGGCCCUUAACCUUGGAGGGACUUUGAAACAUGCCUUCAAAUAUCUUUUGGAUGUCAGUGCUGACUAUGGAGAAUGGGCUGACUUGUUGAGAAGGGAUAAAGAUAUUGUCAAGUUGGAGUCUCCCCGAGAGAAAGGAAGGAAAUUAAGAAUAAGAUCAGCAGAAGAUAAAGUAAAGUGCAGGUAUAAACAUGAAGAAGACCUGCAGAAGGGACAUGGAAAAGACUUAAGAGCCUCGGAUAAAAGGUCACCAGGUUGAUGGACUAAAUGGAUGGAACAGAAAGGACUGACAAAACCCGACACCAGGAAGAAGAGACGACGGAUGAAGAUUGGAAGAAAGUUUUAAAAAAUUAAUUUAGAAAAUCAUUGUAAAAUUAAUGAGUACUAGAAAAAUGUUGGAAUGAAACUAUUUGGCUUUAGUAGAAAUGUUAAAAAGAAUUAUGUAUAAAUAUGUUUUGUGAAAAAGAAUUAGGUAUAAAUAAGAUUUAAGUUUUAAGCUUUAGGGUUUUUUAUGGUAAGAUAAGGUUAAAAUAGAAUCAUAGAAUCAUAGAGUUGGAAGAGACCACAAGAGCCAUCGAGUCCAACCCCCUGCCAAGCAGGAAACACCAUCAGAGCACUCCUGACAUAUGGUUGUCAAGCCUCUGCUUAAAGACCUCCAAAGAAGGAGACUCCACCACACUCCUUGGCAGCAAAUUCCACUGUCGAACAGCUCUUACUGACAGGAAGUUCUUCCUAAUGUUUAGGUGGAAUCUUCUUUCUUGUAGUUUGGAUCCAUUGCUCCGUAUCCGCUUCUCUGGAGCAGCAGAAAACAACCUUUCUCCCUCCUCUAUGUGACAUCCUUUUAUAUAUUUGAACAUGGCUACCAUAUCACCCCUUAACCUCCUCUUCUCCAGGCUAAACAUGCCCAGCUCCCUUAGCUGUUCCUCAUAAGGCAUCGUUUCCAGGCCUUUGACCAUUUUGGUUGCCCUCCUCUGGACACGUUCCAGUUUGUCAGUGUCCUUCUUGAACUGUGGUGCCCAGAACUGGACACAGUACUCCAGGUGAGGUCUGACCAAGGCAGAAUACAGUGGCACUAUUACUUCCCUUGAUCUAGAUGCUAUACUCCUAUUGAUGCAGCCCAGAAUUGCAUUGGCUUUUUUAGCUGCCGCGUCACACUGUUGGCUCAUGUCAAGUUUGUGGUCAACCAAGACUCCUAGAUCCUUUUCACAUGCACUGCUCUCAAGCCAGGUGUCACCCAUCUUGUAUUUGUGCCUCUCAUUUUUUUGCCCAAGUGCAAUACUUUACAUUUCUCCCUGUUAAAAUUCAUCUUGUUUGUUUUGGCCCAGUUCUCUAAUCUGUCAAGGUCGUUUUGAAGUGUGAUCCUGUCCUCUGGGGUGUUAGCCACCCCUCCCAGUUUGGUGUCAUCUGCAAAUUUGAUCAGGAUGCCCUUGAGUCCAUCAUCCAAGUCGUUGAUAAAGAUGUUGAAUAAGACCGGGCCCAAGACAGAACCCUGUGGCACCCCACUAGUCACUCUUCUCCAGGAUGAAGAGGAACCAUUGAUGAGCACCCUUUGGGUUCGGUCAGUCAGCCAGUUACAAAUCCACUGAGUGGUAGCAUAGUCAAGACCGCAUUCUACCAGCUUCUUUACAAGAAUAUCAUGGGGCACCUUGUCAAAUGCCUUGCUGAAAUCAAGGUAGGCUACAUCCACUGCGUUCCCUUCAUCUACCAGGCUUGUAAUUCUGUCAAAAACGAGAUCAGGUUAGUCUGACAUGACUUAUUUUUCAGAAAUCCAUGCUGACUAUUGGUGAUCACAGCAUUCCUUUCUAGGUGCUCACAGACUGUUUGCUUAAUGAUCUGCUCCAGAAUCUUCCCUGGUAUUGAUGUCAGACUGACUGGGCGGUAAUUAUUUGGGUCCUCUCUUUCCCCUUUUUGAAAAUAGGGACAACAUUUGCCCUCCUCCAGUCUGCCGGGACUUCGCCUGUUCUCCAGGAAUUCUCAAAGAUGACUGCCAGUGGUUCUGAGAUCACAUCUGCCAGUUCUUUUAAUACUCUUGGAUGCAGUUCAUCUGGCCCUGGAGACUUGAAUACAUCUAAACUAGCCAAGUAUUCUUGUACUAUCUCCUUAGUUAUUCUGGGCUGUUUCCUCUGCUGAAUCAUUUGCUCCAAAUUCUUCAGGUCGGGCAUUGUUUUCUUUAUCGGAGAAGACUGAGGCAAAGAAGACAUUGAGGAGUUCAGCCCUUUCUGUGUCCCCUGUUUGCAUUUCACCAUCUUCUCCUCUGAGUGACCCCACUGUUUCUUUGUUCUUCCUUUUGCUACAAACAUACCCAUAAAAGCCUUUUUUGUUGCUUUUAACCUCUCUAGCAAGCCUGAGUUCAUAGAUUAAGGUAAUUUAAUGACAGAAUAUUGUGAAAGAUGGAAAGGAUUUGCUGAGAUAAUUAAUAACUAGAAUACAAAAAAGGGAGGUGUGAGGAGGUCGAUGAAACAAGUUAAUGAAAGAUAAAGAUUUGGGAGUAUUGGAUUUGCUUUUAAAUUUUUUGUUUAUUUUUGUUUUUUUAUUCUGAUGUAUUGGGUGUUUUGUUUUUUUGUGUGUGUGUGUGUUUUUUACCUUUGUUUUUAUUGACUUAUAUUGUUUGAUCUCUUUUUUUGUAUACCUUUUUUCCUUUUCUUUUUUCUUGCUUUUUCCUCUCUCUUUAUGUAAUUUUAAAUUUUCAAUAAAUAUCAUUUUUUUUAAAAAAAAAGGAACACUCACCCAGUGCUACUCUCUGGACACGAGUCUGAAGAUACAGAUGGAACCACCGUAAUUCAGUGCCACCACCAACUUUGCAAAGCAAGGGGUGUUGGUGACCAGUCUAUAGUUAUUACACUGGGGCUAGAGUGGGUUUUUUAGAAGUGGAUGCACCACCACCUCUUUAAAGACAGUAGACUCCACUCCAUCAUGCAAGUAUCUGCUUACCACACCUCUGACCCAUUCAGUCACCCCACACCAGUUAGCUUUAAUAAGCCAGAGUGAGCAGGUAUGCUGUCCACAUCAUCAGGCUGCAUUGACUGAAACUGAUCCCACAACACGGAGCUCGACAUUGCAUUGGACAUCUCAGUUGGCCCUGUCACACUUGCAGCACCUCAACUGUCAUCCAGUUACAGUUGGUCUCCACGUGCUCCAGAGGUCCACCUUGAUGGACAGGAACAACCAACCUCCAGACCACAUGAAACAACUCUGCCAGACAGUUUCCCAAGGAUGCCAUAGGGGCAAUGAAGGAGGAUCUCUUUUCUUCCCUCACUGCUACAUAGUAGGCCCAUUUAUGAGCUGGAACAUGUGCUCAGUCAGCUCCUGAGAGAGAUUUACAUCACUUACACUCCAACCCCUGCCCAAUCUGUUUCAUCAAUCACAGCUCCUCAUUAUACCAAGGACCAAAAUGGAUUCCACAGCACCAGAGGGGGCAAUCAUGUCAAUUGCCCUUGUACACAGUAGUGACAUGGAAAUCCAAUCUACUAGUAGACCUUGCUCCCCCUGGCGACUCAUUGACUGAGCUUGUUGAGGGCUGGAAUACCCAGCUCCUGGCAGCCAUAGAUGAGAUCGCACCUAAGCGCCCUCUGCGACUCCGCAGAAACCGGGCUCCCUGGUUUACCGAGGAGCUUCGGAAAAUGAAGCGGGACCUCAGACGGCUAGAGCGAGUAUGGCAGGGUGCCCGUGACGGAGCCUCAAGAACAUCUUAUAGGGUUUUUAUGAAAACCUAUGAGAUGGCGGUGAAGGCUGCUAAGAAGUCUUACUUCUCGGCCUCCAUUGCAUCCGCUAGCUCUCGCCUGGCGCAAUUAUUUAGUAUAAUUAGGUCUUUAACAUCCCUUGAAGGACAGCCAAAUUUAAAUAACAAUCUGACACACAGCUGUGAGGCAUUUGCGAGCUUUUUUGCGGAGAAGGUCCUGUUGCUCCGCCAUGACCUCCCUGCCAAUUUGGAUACAAUAAAGGAACUGGAGGCCCCUCGACUGUCCUCGGGUCCAGUAUUGGACCACUUUGAUCGGAUAUCCCCAGCCGAUGUGGACAGACUCCUCCGAGCUGGAAAGCCCACCACCUGUCCUCUUGACCCGUGCCCGUCUUGGCUGAUUAGAGCGUGUCCAGACGAGGUGCGGGCCCCUGGGGAUAUCAUCAAUUUGUCCCUUGGCACCGGGAUAUUUCCAGUGGAAUUGAAGGAGGCAGUGGUGCGCCCGCUCUUAAAGAAAACAUCAUUAGAUCCCUUAGAUCUAUCCAAUUACCGCCCGGUUUCGAAUCUUCCAUUCCUGGGUAAGGUGAUUGAGAGAGCGGUUGCUGAACAGCUUGGUAGGUUUCUGGAUGAAACAUCAGCUCUGGAUCCAUUCCAGUCUGGCUUCCGCGCUGGUCAUGGGACCGAGACGGCUCUGGUCGCCCUAACAGAUGAUCUCCGCAGGCAGCUGGAUCGAGGCGGGUCGGGGCUGCUGAUUCUUCUAGACCUGUCAGCAGCCUUCGACAUGGUUGAUCACGAACUCCUGGACCACCGCCUUGCCGACGUGGGGAUCCAGGGCACAGUCCUUCAAUGGCUGCGCUCGUUUCUCUCUGGUCGGGGACAGAGGGUGGCGCUUGGGGGGGAAUUGUCAUCCCGCCACUCCUUGGUGUGUGGAGUGCCUCAGGGUGCGAUACUCUCCCCGAUGCUUUUUUAACAUCUUUAUGCGCCCCCCUCGCCCAGCUUGUCCGGAGUUUUGGGCUGGGUUGCCAUCAGUAUGCCGAUGACACCCAACUCUAUCUGUUGAUGGAUGGCCAUCCUGACUCGGCCCCAGACACACUGACCAGAUGUUUGGAAGCUGUGGCUGGAUGGUUACGUGGAAGCCGGUUGAAGUUAAAUCCUUCAAAGACAGAGGUCCUCUGGCUGGGACGGGACGAUAUGGGAUUGGGGGGGCAACUCCCAUCUCUUGCGGGGGGGUGCAAUUAGUGCCAGCACCGUCCGUUAAGAGUUUGGGUAUAAUCUUCGAUACCUCCCUCUCUAUGGAGGCGCAGAUUACAGCUAUAACAAAGGCGGCAUUUUUCAUCUCCGCCAAGCUAAGCAGUUGGCCCCUUAUCUCUCUCGCCCUGACCUAGCCACUGUGAUCCACGCGACGGUCACCUCCAGACUGGAUUAUUGUAACUCGCUCUACGUGGGGCUGCCCUUGAGACUGACCCAGAAACUCCAGCGGGUGCAGAAUGCCGCGACGAGACUCCUUAUGGGGUCUUCGCUGCGAGAUCACAUUCAUCCGGUACUAUACCAGCUGCACUGGCUCCCGGUGGAGUACAGGAUCAGGUUUAAGGUGCUGGUUUUAACCUUUAAAGCCCUAUACGGCCUAGGACCCUCGUACCUACGGGACCGCCUCUCCUGGUAUGCCCCACAGAGGAACCUACGGUCUGCAAAUAAAAACAUCCUGAAGGUCCCAGGCCUCAGAGAGGUUAGGCUGGCCUCAACUAGAGCCAGGGCUUUCUCGGCUGCGGCUCCAAUCUGGUGGAACGCUCUGUCACAAGAGACUAGGGCCCUGCGGGACCUGACAUCUUUCCGCAAGGCCUGCAAGACAGAGUUGUUCCACCAGGCCUUUGGUCAGGGCCCAGCCUGACUCCCUCCUCUGGCAACCUGCACAGAACUUUGCUUAACGGUUGCCAUUAAUUUGAUUUUAAUUAAUUUUUAUAAUGAAAUGUUUUAGAAUGUUGGAUUAUUUGAUUGUUUGAUUAUUUGUUUGUUGUUAGCCGCCCUGAGCCUGGCUUUGGCUGGGGAGGGCGGGAUAUAAAUAAAAAUUUUUAUUAUUAUUAGUAGUAGUAGUAGUAACAUUACAGGACAGACUUAUCCCACAUGCUUUGUACCCAUAGCUGCUGCAGCUACAUCACCUUUGCAGCCCAUGGCUAUGCACAGUUAUGGGCCUAAGUUACUUGAUCUGUCAAAAUGAUUUUUUAUUGAAAGGGGGUGAUUCAAUGAGCUAAUAUUAAAAUAUUGCUUCUUUUGAUAAAUCAACAGUUGGCAUUUUUCUGGUUCCAUACCACAGCUUGUACUAAGUGAAGAAACAAAGUCAUUGCCAGGAAUAUCAACUCACAGAUACAAAUACAACUGUUGAAAUAUCCAAGCUCUGAAACUUGCCACUGCCUCUGCUCUGUUUCCAGCUACUGGCAUAGGAGCAAGUGAUUACUAGGGUGAUGGAUUAUCCGAGAAGGUCUAAAGUUCACAGGACAAUAGUUCUUUGCAUUUAUGCUGAGGGGACUGGAUGGACUUUUCCACAUAUAUCCUGAAUUUCAACAAGUAGCAUUUUGGAAUUAAAAGCCAGCAACAAUGUGCUGCAGCAGUCAUUGGAUUAAACAUAAUUCAACAACAAAGCAGCUGGAACUGCAAGGUGCAUAAGAUAGUUGAUGCCCUAUACUCUUCUCACCCCCCCCCGAGGCAGAAUUUGGUGACUACUUCAGUUGACAAAUGCUGGCAGUGGGGAGCAGGGGCAGCUAUAUGGUUGUUCCUGCUGAGCCCCCUGGCUCUUUCCUUCUGUGUUUUUUUUUUAAAUAAUAUUUAUUACUUUUAUAGAUUACAAAAAGAGAGGAAAAAAAGCAAAAGAGAAAAAACAGAAGAAAAAACAAAAAAAAACAAAGAGAGAGAGAAAAAACACACAAUACAAUACAAUAUAUAAACAAUACAAAACACAACCUAAACUCAAAACUAGACACAUUAAGCUAAACUAAACAAACCCCACUCCCCAAAACAAAAACAAUUUAAAAACAUACAUCCUCUCUUUUCCAUACUCUAUCUUUCGUUCCCUUGUUUCCUCGACCUCCUCACACCUCCCUUUUUGUGUUCCGCUUCUAUUAAUUGUUUCAGCAAAUCCUUUCCAUCUUUCUCCAUUUUCUGUGAUAUUGUAAAUAGCGUAUUAUUUUAACCUCAUUUUCCAUUAAAACUAAAUUACUUAUAUGUGCUUAACUCCUUAUAACAUUUCUGUUAAGCCCAUAAAAAAUAAAAAAUCAUUCCACCAUUUUUCUAUCACUCAUUAGUUUUACCAUAAGUCUAUAUAAAAACUUUAAAUUUUCCAAUCUUCUUCCACCAUCUCCUCUCCCAGGUUUCGGAUUCUGCCAGUCCUUUCCGUCAAUUCCAUAAAGUCCAUCAACCUGGUGAUCUUAUGUCCGAGGCUCUUAACUCUUUUCCAAGUCCCUUCUGCAGGUCUUCUUCAUUUUCUUUAAUGCUAAAGAGCCAAUCUCAGGGAAAUUCCAACCUGUCAAUCCUUUUCUUCCUUCUGAACAAAUCAGCUGAGUUUCCAUAGUUAAAACUACAGUCCAUAAAGUAUUUCCGGGUAUAUUUCAAAAUUCCUCCAAUUCCAAAGGCCCCCAAAACUUCAAUCUCCUCCAGGCCCGAGUCCAUGUCCCAAAAGUCAGUUAAUCCCUGCAUAGAGGGCUCUUUCCAACUUUCCUUCUUUAAUCCAAACCGGGAUCCAUUCCUCGGAGUCUGGCUUUUCCUGGAUUCAAUCAUAGAAGGCCUCAACUUAUAAUCUCCAAUUUGCUUCUGUAAAUCCACAGAUCUCACUUGUAUUAUUUUAUGUUGAACAACAGCUGCAUUCUCCUUCUCCUCCACCAUUUGUCCUGCCAAAAUGGGUUCCUGUACCAAGUCCUGAAUUAUUUCUGUGUUAGUGUUCAUUUUUUGACUCAGGUUGGUCACUUUCUGUUCCAAAUUAUCAACUUUGAGAGUCAUAUCAUCCAUCUUCUUGUGAAGCUGUCCCAGCGAACAGCUUAUCUUACAUAAAAGAGUCACAAUGGCCUCUCCUGUCAACAUUUUUAAAUGGUCCAAGGUCGCUCUCUGGUUCUCAGAAUCCUUAUCUGCAGCUGGAAAUCCCCCAGUUACAGUCCUCUAACAGUUUCAAAAGCUCCCUCUAGCAGGAAACAGUCUCCACUUGUAUCAGUUCUUUCAGGCACAACUCAAGCAUUAAAGAUAAAAUUUCAGUUACUUUUCCUCUCUUUUUUUUUAAACACAGAAAGGGACAAUGAAAACAGUAUCUUACUCUUGUUUAGCUAGCUGUCAAAUCCGUUCUGUCAAAAGCACUCUCUCCAAAUGUCAUCUGGCAGCCCGUUCCCAGGUUCAGAGCAGUGGUAAUUUGAUUUUUUCACUCUCUCCUGCAGGCUCACUAGAUCCAAAAUUUCCCCCUCUUCUCCUGCUUCCUAAGGGGGUUUUGUAACUUUAAACCGGUGGAAAUUUGAUCCUUUCCCAAAAGCUUUCAAAGGCUUUACUUGUAACGUCUUUGCUUCAGUCUAUUUACAAAAACGGUAGGCGGACUUCCUGUUUAUAACCUUCCCGUUUCAGUGCCAAAUUGAAGUAUUUAAAAAUCCAAAUUUCCGUUUUACUCACGAGUAGUUGUUUAAAAUCCAAUUGUCCACAGGAAAAAGUCAGCGCUCUCCGGCAACAGCAAUGUGGCUUCACUCCGUGAAAGAAGCAGUCGAUUCAAAGCACCGCGCCACUCACCCCACGUCGCUCCGGAUCCCCAAAACAGGGUUUCCCCGCGAGUAGGGGAGGCGCAAAGGUGCCAGCCGAAUCCCACGUCCACAGGCUUCUUCCGCCUGUGGUUUUAAAUGGGUCUCCGCCUCGCCGUGGCGGUUCAGACCCUGUUUUUCACGGAGCGGGUUCCUCCCGAUCGGAGGAAAUCCGCCAUUGCCAGAGGCGCCAACCCGGAAGUCUCUGGCUCUUUCCUUCUGUAGGAGGACCCGCAGCUGUGUGCCCUAGCCUGUGCCUCCAGAGCUAGCCUGCUGCCCUCAGGCCUGGUGGAGUAAAAUUUAACAGCCACUCUCGGCAGCUUCUGCAUGCAGAAAGUGGGUGGGAGUGGUAUAAUUGGAGCAAACACAAAUCUGUGGAAAAGCUGAAUUGCCAUUUCUUGCGCUUCAGCUUUAAAGAGAGAGUUUUUACAGGGAAAGAUGGGACAUGGCACUGCAAAGCAUGGACCUGUGCCUGGACCUGUGCAGAGCAACAGGUGUGUUUCCGAGCACAAUUCAAAGGGUUGGUGCUGACCUUUAAAGCCCUCAACAGCCUCGGCUCUGUAUACCUGGAGGAGCGUCUCCACCCCCUUUGUUCUGCCCGGACACCGAGGUCCAGCGCCGAGGGCCUUCUGGUGGUUCCCUCCCUGUGAGAAGCAAAGCUGCAGGAAACCAGGCAGAGGACCUUCUCGGUAGUGGCGCCUGCCCUGUGGAACACACUCCCAUCAGAAGUCAAGGAAAUAAACAACUAUCUGACUUUUAGAAGACAUCUGAAGGCAGCCCUGUUUAGGGAAGUUUUUUUAAUUUAUUGUUUUAUCCUGUUUUUACUAUUCUGCUGGGAGCCGCACAAAGUGGCUGGGGAAUAAAUGUGCCAGAUGCGCAGGGCAUAAAUAAUAAAAUUGUUGUUGUUGUUAGGAUAAGUCUUAGAUUCCGAUCACAGAUGGUACUCAUCAUCUUUGCCAUGGGAUAUGCCAAGCAAAGGAAAACACGGAGCUGGAACAAGGAGUUGUGUGCCAUAUGCAGGCUCCCGAGAGGUCCAGGAGAGCUAAAAAGGUGCCCUCUCCCUCUCCCCAGCCCAAACCAUCCACUAGGGCACCAACCAAUCCUGUUUCCAUUCCAUAACUGGAUUAAAAUGGAUCUAAAUGAUCACUUUUCUCCAAGACUGUCUGGAAGAGACUGCAAACCUUAAGGUGACCUUCCUCAGAUGGUGAGAACAGUAAAUUGAGUUCACUUCCUGACAAUUAUUUAUGAUAUUUGCUACAGUUUAUAAACAGUAAAAGUAUCCUCAUCGCAAUACAACGUAGAAAUGGAGCUGCAUUUGUGAAGUGUUUUGGGGAGAGGUUGGUGGGGGGAGGGGAGUCAAAUAAAAGGCAUGCAAUGCUGACCUAAUUAAGACUGCUAGACUGCAAUGAGGUUCCAGAAUCCAAAUAAGCAGACAAGAAUAGAUUAAGCUCUGCCAUUUCACUGUUGACUGAGUAAUAGACCACACAUUUCAUUUACAGGUGAUUUGCACAAAAACAGGAUUUUGUGCCAGCACUCAGUUAGAAGAGCUAAUUAAUAAAAAUAUUUUAAAAGGAUAAGACGCAACAGAGUUGAUAAGCCAGUAGUACCGUAUAAAAUCCAGAUGUGUCAUUUGCAGCUCCUUGUAAAGAGUAGAUCUCCCUGGUAACUGUUGGUGUUACAGUUCAUCUCUUGAUUUCGCAGGCCUUUACAUGAACUUUACAGGUAGGCCCUUUACAUGAACUAGGAAUAAACCAGGAAGUCUCUGAUUAAACAGAGUUUCCCCUUUUGUCAAAAUUGGGAAUCUAUGGUUAGCAUAAACCAGGAUCUUAAACCAACUGACAGCUGUGAAGGGAAGAGUUAUCCUUCACAUCUCAUUGCUCAGUCAAGCUAGGUUCACCACUCCAGAAGGGAAUGUGCCCCUCAGGCUUUAAAAGGUUCCCCACCAAGCAGGCAUGCCUAGAAUUGCACUGCAAGUGGUCUUGCACUCGCUUCCACCUUGCACCACAGUAGCAACCAUGCAACUGCAUUAAAGCAUCAAAACUCUGCAAGAUCCCAAGUAAGAGCCAGUGUGGUGUAGUGGUUAAAAGCGGUAGUCUCGUAAUCUGGGGAACCGGGUUCGCGUCUCCGCUCCUUCACAUGCAGCUGCUGGGUGACCUUGGGCCAGUCACACUUCUUUGAAGUCUCUCAGCCCCACUCACCUCACAGAGUGUUUGUUGUGGGGGGAGGGAGGGAAAGGAGAAUGUUAGCCGCUUUGAGACUCCUUAAAGGGAGUGAAAAGCGGGAUAUCAAAUCCAAACUCUUCUAAGGCAAAUAUGAGGUGUGGCAUGGGAGAUGCAAUGGCAUGGUGUUCGUGAUCAUGUCUGAAUAAUGGUUUCUAGAGUUAGGAUAGGAUACUGUUGCUUACUGAUUAUCUUCCUUUUCACCAUUGUAUUCCUUCUUCCCUCAGCAGAGUUCAAGGUGCCAUGUUGUUGUUUAGUCGUUUAGUCAUGUCCGACUCUUUGUGACCCCAUGGACCAGAGCACGCCAGGCACUUCUGUCAUCCACUGCCUCCCGCAGUUUGGUCAAACUCAUGCUGGUAGCUUUGAGAACACUGUCCCACCAUCUCGUCCUCUGCCGUCCCCUUCUCCUUGCGCCCUCCCUCUUUCCCAACAUCAGGGUCUUUUCCAGGGAGUCUUCUCUUCUCGUGAGGUGGCCAAAGUCUUGGAGCCUCAGCUUCAGGAUAUGUCCUUCCAGUGAGCACUCAGGGCUGAUUUCCUUCAGAAUGGAGAGGUUUGAUCUUCUUGCAGUCCAUGGGACUCUCAAGAGUCUCCUCCAGCACCAUAAUUCAAAAGCAUCAAUUCUUCGGCGAUCAGCCUUCUUUAUGGUCCAGCUCUCACUUCCAUACAUCACUACUGGUCAAGGUGCCAUACACAGGGUUAUUCCAUUUCCUCCUCACAACCACCUGAAUAAAUUACAAUAAGAAAUAAUGACGUACCCAAGAUCAUCCAAUGAGCUUUUAGCACCACCUUGGCCACUGAGUCUUCUUUGUGCAACCACAUGCUGCGUAUGCUUGUCUGCAGAGACAUUCCAGUGAGGGAGCACUUGCUCAUGCCUGGGAGCUCCACACAAUCAGGACACCUGCCCAACCUGAGUCGUGUGGUGCUCCUACACGAGCAGGUGUCCAUGUGCUGGAACUUCUCUGCAGACCACUAUCCCAUCCAGUCAUUGCAGGAAGACCUGGUGGUGGGGCAAGGCUAAAAGUGCAGCCCUGCUCUGCUGUCAAUGCAAAUAUGCCCUGCACACUUGUUAACACAUGAGACUCUUGAGAUGUAGAAAUGUGCAGCUGUAGAGCUUUUUAGCAAUGACCUCCCUAGCUAUAAUCUCCUAAAGAGAAGAGAGGCCUGUAGAAAACACAGAAAUGCACUAUUGACACUUAGCAGAAGUUGGGCAUAUUGUCUGAGGAACUGUCAUGUCAAACUUUGAAGAGGUAGAAGCAAAUUUGGAGACCUAUGAAACCAGUCAGGCUGUAUAAGAAACUGGGCUGCAAACAGUCCUGUGUGAAGCUCAUGCCUUCCCAUUAUCUCCAUCCUGUAGUUCAAGCUUCAAAUAGGUAAGAGGACCACUUUUCCCCAUUACUCCAUCUAAGUUACUCUGUGGAUGUCCUUGUGGCUAUUUUAUAGAUUUGUCAAAUCCAUAUGAUAUGUGCAUGUGCUAGCCUGUUCUCACAGAUGGCACUAUCUUCUUCCGGCGACGGGCUGAAAGGAGCAAAUUCUGAAAAUGUUGCAUUAUCUCCUCAUUUAGGAGGAGAGCAUUUAGGGACUGUAAUUAAGGAGGUGUUGGAAGAUUUUUACAUCACGUUUUUCAAGAAAGGUUUUGCAAUAUUGUUCUGUUUGGAGAAGAGCUAUCCCUUUUGAUCGUUCUCCCCGCUCCCCGCCCCCAAAAACGUCUGGCUGAGAAACAACACUCACUCCACCCCCGCCCGUCUGCCUGCGUGUGUGCUCAGGCCGCCCGAAUGGAGCGUGCAAACGGGGCGCCCACCUCCUUCCCUUCCCGGCCCCCACGAUGCCUCUGCAUCUGCCCAGAUUUCAACUCCCGCCCGUCCUGGAGGAGGUAAACAAGCCCCAAGCCGCCGCCUCCUCCUCGGCUCCGCAGCGCCGCCUGGAAGCGCGUCUCGGGCCCGCCUGGCCGCGAGAAGGGCUCUGGGGCUGCUCCGUCCCUCCGCGGCCCGGCAGGAGGACUCUCCCUCCCGCCCUCCCUUCCUCCGCCAUCCCCGCAAGCCCCCGGGAAGGAGGCGGGAGGCAGGGCCCGGCCGGGGGGGGGGCGGCGAGGAGGAGCCCCAUCUGCUCCCUCCCUCCCUCCCUCCCUCCGCCUCGCGCGGCCCUGCGGGGGCGCCUGCGCAGAGGGAGGGGCGGGGGCCUUGCGAGGCGAAGGGCGGGGCUGGCCAAGGAGGGAACAGAGGGUUAUUCGAGGUGAAGCGGGGCGGAGUCGCGCCGAGGGGGCGGGGCCGGAGGAGGGAGGGAGGGAGGACGAGGCGUCGAGAGAAGGGGGGGCGGGGGGCGUGUGCCCCAUUCCUCGCUGCUUGGCCGCGGGACCCGCGCUGCUCUCUGGGUGCUUCUGGGGCUCGGCAAGGGGGUCGUGCCCGUGGGGCACGUGUCAGGUCACCUCCAGAGGGGGCUGCGGGGGACCAGCGUGGGGAUCUGGUGACUGAAGCGAGCAGCGCCUCUGAUGCGGGGCGGGGGGGGGGCGGGGAGGAGGAGGAUGGAACAAAGUGUUCGAAAAACCAGCCCCAGGAAGCGCAUCCCUCUGACUCACAGGGAAAAGCUGCAGGCAGGAGCAGCAGCAAAAACAGCCCCCAUCUCGGCGAAUGUGUCAUUUGCGUACAUGCGUGCUACGGAGGGGGGGCGGCCUUUUCUUAAGAGGAGGGCCCUGUGGUGCCCCCCAGCGUGUACUGCUAUGUCUAAUCGUGCUAUUUAUAAAUAUGUACCAGCCCGGGUUUAUUUAUUUCUCUCUCUCUCUUAAGCCCGCGUGGGCGGCGUAUCCUGAAGCCCCCUCCCCCCCCCCGCAAGUAGGUGGCUGCGCGCGUGAGAAAGCGAGGGGGGAGCGGCCUCCUCUUCCUCGCAAGCAAGCCAUCCGCUCUCCCUAGGAGCUGUCAUAUGGGGGGGGGGGCGGAGAGGGUGUGGGAGGCACCUGAUUGCAAUACUUCAUUUGUGCCGAGCAAACGUGCCAGGCUGUCAGAUCUUGCAUUUGCCCUUAAAAAUAAAAAAGUACAGGGAGCCCCGCGGGGGGUCGAAAAGAAGGUCUGCAGCAGCUUCCCCGGCGCCCCAGGGCGAAAAAAGGGACGCGGUGAUCCGGCGUUUCCUCCGACUGACACGCAGGCUGAUGACGGCCGGGGCCAGAAGUCACGCAGCCCCCCCCUUGCUCCCCCCUCCACCCCCCCUGCCUGCCUGCCUGCCUGUCUGUCUCCGAGGUGGAGGUGCUAAUUUCAGUGCGGCUCACGUGGGUCCGGGCUCCCUGCGCUUCCUGCACGAGCUGGGGGCGGGCUUACCAGCCCCCAAUCUAGGGCAGUUUGUUCAACUGCAGUAAAGGGAGCUCGAUGUUCCAGCAGCGAAGGGAUUUCUGAGAACUGGGACUGUGUCCUCAGAUGAACUCUCCUCCUCCUCCUCCCCCUCCCUUCUGCUGCCUGCAGAACAGCUUUAAAAGGGCGAUGUCUGUACUUUUGCCUGAGCAGCGCGUGGCUUCGGUGCACGUACAUCUGCAGCCUGCAGUGCAGUCGCUUGGUGCGGCCCCACCACCAUUCGCUCUGCAUUAAAGAGGCGAAGGCUGCUAAACUUCGGCAAACAAAGUUGUGUGGAGGGGCUCGGGGACGGUUCGGGGACCUCAACAACUCCGUGUUGUAAGAAACGUGGUACACGUAGCCAGUUCCCUAUACUGUACGUGCAAGCAGCCGAAUACUUGCUCACAUCCCUCGAUGUGGAGAAUUGUUCUUCCUGAAGGCAGAGCACCGUUUCAGCCCUCCCACCGCUUCGCCGCCCCUCCCCGCCUCCGCUUUCUGCAGAUUUCCUGUACAGAGUACAUUUCCUAAAAUGUGUCAUUAGCAGAAGCAGUUGUACUAGGGCAGUUCUGAAGAGCCUUGCAUCCCUUCAUAAUGCCUCGCCUCACUCAAGACAGACAACAGGAUCAAUUCCCUCUUUGUCUCUUCAUCUCACAUUCUUCGGUUCUUGCCCACCCACCCAAUGCCUUGGAAUGUUCUCCCCAUAAUUAUGUCCAAGGCCUCACCCACUUUUUAUUCAUAUCCCUUCCUAGGACCUUCAGAUAGGGGAAAGCUGCUCGAUUCUUCAUGUGUUUCCUGUAUGUCCUCCUGUGCUAGUAAACACGUCAAAGUUGAAUAUGUCAAAGGGGUUUUUAGAAUAAGCACCACUCAGUGGAUAAUACUGGUGACAAGGCCAAAUGUAGGGGCAGGUGACCCCAGGAACCACCUGCUAUGUUGAGCAAGGGGUCUGCAGGGACACCUGCUAUCCUCUAUCAAACAAAGUCAAGGCGCCCUCCACAUGUUGUUGGACCAUAACUUGCAUGAUCCCUGACUAUUGGGCAUGCUGGCUGAAGCUGAUGGGACCAGGAGUGCAUCAACCUCUGGAGAGCACCGUGUCUGCUCUCUACAGGCUAUUUAGUCAACUAUCCACUCAAAAGCGGAAACAAAGGGCUCAGGCCAGUCCUGGGGAAUCUGUCCCUACCCAUCCCACCUCCAGGGCUCCAACUUCCAUCAGCCACAGCUAGCAUGGCCAAAGGUCAGGCAGGAUGGGAGUUGGAGUCCAACAAAAUCCGUAGGGCUAAAGGUUAAUCACUUCAAGUAUAAAUAGUUUACAUGGCAUGAUCCUAGCAUGCAAAUUUAUUCCCUUAAAUCAUGUCUGCAAAUCACAGAACUCAUUAAAUGGGGGGUGUAUGCGUAAUUAAAAUAAGGUAUUUGAAAUUAGAAGAGGGUGCACAAAGGAUGGUUCUUGCCCAGGGGGCCAUUGAGUGUUGGGCCAACACUGAUAGCUGAAUAUGGCCAAACUCUCUCUCUCUGUCACUGGCCUUGGCCUUUGGCUUCACAUUCCCAACUCUAAAAGGAGAAUAACAGGCUCAUUCAUGAGGAUACUGUAAGAUUGAGCUAAUACUUCAAUGUGAAAUAGCAUCUGAGACAUAAACCUCACUAUUUUACCUACCAAGCACCAGGGCACCUUGUUUCACUUUUUGUUUUAGUUCUCUUUCAGCAUCCUAGUACUAAUACUAUUCUAUUUACUUUAUACUUACAUUUAUUUUAGGUUGUCAAUUACAUGUUUACUAAUAUGUGGACAGACAGCUGGGUGCCCUACCAUGUGAGAAGAGGAUGGCCUUGGACUUGUAUGUGGGAGGGUAACACAGGAGUGUUCAUAUAGUAGAUCUUCACUCUCACCCCUGCUCAGGUGGGGAGGGGGUGCCAUUUUGUGGAUGGCCUCAGGUGCCAAAAUGUCUUGAGCCAGCCCUGCACUUUUACCUCAGGUCUUGUGUGUGGAAAUAAUGUUGCUCUAAACCUAAAAUUGUAUUGGGGUUUUGUCUGUUACAUUGCAAUAUCUCCUUUCACAUAUCAGUAUUGUAAGAAAUGGAGCUGUCUGGGCCAACUCUGUACUGAUAGCUGUGAAUGAUCACUUCAGAAAAUUCAACUGCCCAUAUUAAAUCCUCAGGCUCUCUCAGGCUGCAUCCACAUUAACUCAUUUGUAACACAAAUUGUAGCUACACUCAAUAUGCCAGCAAAUAUGGAAAAAAUCAGCAGUGGCCAGAGGAUUGGAGAUGAUCAGUCUACAUCCCAAUCCCAAAAAAGGGCAGUGCCAAAGAGUGCUCCAACUACCGCACAAUUGCGUUCAUUUCACAUGCUAGCAAGUUUAUGCUCAUACUUCUACAAGGCAGGCUAAAGCAGUAUGUGGACCGAGAACUCCCAGAAGUACAAGCUGGGUUUCAAAGGUGCAGAGGAACCAGAGACCAAAUUGCAAACAUGCGCUGGAUGUUCCAGAAAAACAUUUACAGUCAUACCUCUUGUUAUGUCCGCUUCAUGUUACGUUCUUUCAGGAUAUGUCCUGCGGCGACCCAGAGGUACCGGAAAGGGUUACUUCCGGGUUUCACCGCUCGUGCAUGUGCAGACACGCAAAAUGAUGUCACGCGCAUGCGCAGAAGCGGCAAAUCGUGACCUGCGCACGCACAGAUGCAGGUUGCGUUCUGCUCAUGUUGCGAACGGGGCUCCGGAACGAAUCCCAUUUGCAACCAGAGGUACCACUGUACUUCUGCUUCAUUGACUAUGCAGAAGCCUUUGACUGCAUGGAGCACAGCAAACUAUGGCAAGUUCUUAAAGAAAUGGGAGUGCUUGAUCACCUCAUCUGUCUCCUGAUAAAUCUCUAUAUGAGACAAGAAGCAACAGUUAGCUGGGUAUGGAACAACUGAUUGGUUCAAAAUUGGGAAAGGAGUAUGACAAGGCUGUAUAUUGUCUCCCUGCUUAUUCAAUUUAUAUGCAGAAUUCAUCAUGCGAAAGGCUGGACUGGAUGAAUCCCAAACUGGAAUUAAGAGUGCCGGAAGAAAUAUCAACAACCUCAGAUAUGCAGAUGACACAACCUUGAUGGUAGAAAGUGAGGAAUUAAAGAACCUCUUAAUGAGGGUGAAAGAGGAGAGCGCAAAAUAUGGUCUGAAGCUCAACAUCAAAAAAACGAAGAUCAGGCCACUGGGCCCAUCACCUCCUGGCAAAUAGAAGGGGAAGAAAUGGAAGUAGUGACAGAUUUUACCUUCUUUGGCUCCGUGAUCACGGCAGAUGGUGACAGCAGUCAGAAAAUUAAAAAACGCCUGCAUCUUGGGAGAAAGGUGAUGAUAAAGCUAGAUAGCAUAUCAAAAAGCCUUGUCGAAAAAAUCCAUAUACUGAAAGCUAUGGUUUCCCCAGUAGUGAUGUAUGGAAGUGAGAGCUGGACCACAAAGAAGGCUGACCGCCGGAAAAUUGAUGCUUUUGAAUUAUGGUGCUGGAGGAGACUCUUGAGAGUCCCAUGGACUGCAAAAAGAUCAAACCUCUCCAUUCUGAAGCAAAUCAGCCCUGAGUGCUCACUGGAAGGAAAGAUCAUGAAGCUGAGGCUCAAAUACUUUGGCUACCUCAUGAGAAGAGAAGACUCUCUGGAAAGAAAACCUCUGAUGUUGGGUAAGAUUGAGGGCACAAGGAGAAGGAAAUGACAGAAGACGAGAUGGUUGGACAGUGUUAUAGAAGCGACCAACAUGAAUUUGAUGAAACUCCGGGAGGCAUUGGAAGACAGGAGUGCCUGGCGUGCUCUGGUCCACAGGGUCACGAGGAGUUGGACAUGACUAAUCAACUAAACAACAAAGCACAAAACUAUGCAAUAGUUCUAGACUCCAUGAGGACCACAAACAAAAAAACAAGCACUCAGUCUCCAUUGAGUCUAGAAUAAGAUGUCAUGUGUACAUAGCCUGAUGGAGACCAGCUCUUUCCAAAGGCCACACAAUCAGCCUAGAAACUCCCCAUGUUGAGUUGAUGAAGUGAAAUAUGGAAAUAUCCUUUAGUCAGAGUAGAAACUACCAGGGCAAGGUCCAAGUUUAUUAUGACAGCUUUUAUUUUAAAAUUGUGCUCUUUCCUACAGGGUGUAACUUUGUUAGCUGGAACAUGUUCUGUAAUAUAUAUUUUUAAUGUGAUUUUCUUAGCUGAAACUAUGAGCUGUCUGUAUUACUAAGGCACUUACUACAUUGCUAUUUAAACACAAUUGGAUGCAUUCUGAACUCAGAUUCCUCUGACCUAUUUUGAAUGCUCUGAAACCUAGACUACCUUCCAUCACACUAAAGCCAAUGGAUCCUAGAAAGCAUUUGAAACAGAAAGCUGUCUUUUUUCUGAUUAAUAAUAAAUACAGUGCAAAGUAUACAUGCAGUUAUAGCUAAAUGAUUUAAAGGUCAAGCAAGAAAAAAAACCUAGGCCCAAAAGUAGCAAAGCUCUUGAUACUUAGAAUUUUUUUAACACUUUUCCUUGUCGCUGGCUAAAUCUAGCUGGAGUAGUCGUAUCUGCCCACCAAGAACUUGAUGCCUCUUCACCAAUAAGCAUCUUGAACUGUCACUGAAGGUUCAGACUGAAAGACCUUGCACACACUCAGAACACCAUAGAAGCCCCUUGUGAUAAUGUGGUUUUUACAUAUUCUUUAGCAUUGCUGAAAUAUCAGUGUUAAAACUGUGUAAAAUUUUAGAACAUAAAUAUACCAGAUUAUUAAAAUUUCACCAUCCACUAUGAAAGGAAAUUUCAGUCCAACAUCAGUUUUAUCCAAUAUUUCAAAAGCCUGUUGUCAGAAAAUAAAAACACAUUUUAGAUAUUCUGCUUGUAUUUUAUGAUUCAGCCCUUGUUGAAUAAGUAAUGAAAGCAAAAUCAACCAGGAGAACAGUUCAUUUAAUUUUUCAAACUUUUCAGUCUGAAUAGAUAAGGAUCAUAUCACUUCUGAAAAGUUCUCAGGAUUCAGUUUAGUACAUCCUACAUAGCUAUCAUAAGGUGUCAUAAAGGCUGCAAUCCAAUGCCAUUUACCUAGAAGUUAGUCCCACUGAAUCCAAUGGGAGUUACUUCUGAGUAGCCCUGCAUAGACUUGCACUGUAAUACUUUGAUAUACAAUAUUUAAUAUUUAUACAUUAGUUUCAGUUCCAAACUGUUGGAUAUAUUAUGUCUUAAUCUCCUAAAUAAGACAAUACUCUCACAGUCACUCUCCUUUGGAACUUAUCUUGAAAGUGGGCUUAACAGUCUUGAGCAAUAGGGCAAGCAACACUCAUCCUAGAUAAUUUUACAUUAACCAAUUCUCCAUUGGAUGAUAUUCAAUUAUGGCAUUCUGCUUGCACAACAGGAUUUCCCCUUCUCUCCUUCCCUCUUCAGUCCCCCCUCCAGGUCAUAUGCUCUGGAGAGUUGGGGGGGACACUAAAGAGCUGAUGGGGGCCAGAGGGGAAGAAGAAGGAGAGGACCUGCUUCAUACACUGGUGCAACACUGGAUCUCACCCAUAUAUUCUUUAGUUCAUUCUUUAAUUUUAUGUCAUUUGGAUUUUUCUAAUUCUUGACAUGUUAGUUUAUCCAUGUCUCAUUUCAGCCCUUCUGUUUUUUAAAAUAAUUGGCUCAACUUAUGCUCUCUGUUUAGAAAUAUAUCUUUACUUCUUUGUUACUCUUUUGUUAUUGAAUAAUGAAUCCUUUUCCUAUUCAAUUUAGGAGUCUGUAACUAACUUUUAUUUACAUUUUCCUUUACUUUUACUUCCUCCUCCUACUCCUUCUGAUGCCAAGCAUACUUGCCACUGAGAACUGGUUGAAUGGAUUUCUUUCAGCACUGAAGAAAUCCUGUAAACCUUUUUAUUUUAUAUAUACCCGAUUACAUUCCCUUAUAUCUUUUAUCUUUGAUUGUCUUCCCUUAUAUCUUUCUUCUUUCCUUCUUCUUCCUCUUCAUUUUGUGUGGCCAAUGAGAUCUGGACAGAGUUUCUUUGUAACUAGUAUUUAUUGUUUGCUUGCUUGCUUUGUUUCCUGAAACUACAGAUUCUUGAAGCCUAUAGAAGAGCGUACAGGGAUGGAAAAGUCAGGAGGUUUUGCUCCUAGCACCACAGAUGCAAGAAUUGAAAAGUCCAGGAGUUUCUUCUAUCCUUUGUGCAAGGUAAAGGAAGCAGGAAGAAAAUGAAUGUUUGCGUUACAUCACAUUGCCUUCUUAUCUCACUGAACCCCAACAUAUUUGCUGAAAGACUAAGAAGUCGUCAAACUGUCAGAGAGGCACUGUGAGAUGGGCCUGUGAAUUCACGGGGCAAGUCCAUUGUAUUUCAGGCUCCACUACCCCAUCUGUAAAGGUUGCUGGGAAGAUACAUAAAACAGGAAAUGCAUCUGCACUAACCUCAGGUAUAGGUUGCUCUGUACAUCUAAAUGAAUGAAGGGGGAAGCUGUUAACUCUCUCUUGGUUCACAUUUAUCUGGAACUUGCUUAUAUUCUAUAAGAAUAAGGAAUGUUCUUUUCCCUUCCCUCCCAUUUACUCUCACAGUGUCCCUGCCUUUAUUCAAGAAUGGCACUCUGACCUGAAUGCUGAUCUGUUUGUCACUCCUUUACCCUAAGGUCACUAUAGUCCUCUUUUUUGUCCCUCCACUAGAGGCAGCUUACGGUUUGUUUUCUUCAUUCUGGUCAGGGACACAAGUAGCCAUCUCAAAGUCCUUUCAUGACUUGAACUUCAUCUCAAGCAAAAGCUGUUGGUUGUGCUCAGUGUCUACACAGGAGACUUCGCCACAACGGGAGCACCCGUCCAUUAGUUAACUGAUUAGCUAAUAAGCACCUGUGACAGCAAAGCCAGACCAGUGUCCGGAGAUGCAGUCCCUCAGAAUUCCACCAGAGGGCUGGAGCCUCUCUCUGAUUUGCUCCCAAGACAGCCAGUCAGAGGGAGGCGGAGCCAGCACUUUCGGAGGGAAAGUAAAAGAAGCCAUUUCUGAGGGACAGACUUAGAUAGGGCUUGAUUUGAGAUGAGACAUAGGGCUCAGGUUGAGAGAUAGGGAUCAGGAGAGGUUUGUCUGAGGGAGAACUGGUUCUGUUUUGAGUGGAACAUCCAUUCUGAGGAGAACAUCUAAAGCCAGAGAAAAGAGCCUCUCAGCUUAUAUAGGAAGACCCAGUUGAGGGUCUUGGGAAAGUAAAAAAGGAUUUAAACUGGAGGGUUGAGUCUGAGGCAGGAGAGGAAGAAACUGUGGGAAGACACUCUUAUUCUUGGGUCUCCUUCCAGUCUGGAGGCCAGAGAUCUCCUGGGAAAAGACGACCCUCAAACCAAUAACAAGGGCUGUGGGGACCCUCUGGGUCUGUUAUACUAACUGGGAUACCUCAAGAGUGAGAUUGUUAAGAGAGAGGGGAACCGAGGAAAAGUGGCCCUCACUCGGGAACCAAAUUGCUAAUCUGUGAAGGAAGCUGUGCAGUAUCAAAAGUAUUUCACUAACACCUCUCAUAACUAAGUAAAGGAACAAGAAACUGAGUUAAGCAUUUUACCACCUAUUCUGGAAACCUAAGCAUCUACCUGAAGUGUAACAACUGAUUUUUAGCAACUGAAGUUUAAGAAAAGAUGUGCACAUACUACUGUGUUUAAGCCUGCGACAUCCUUGUAUUUAGUUUAAGCGAUAAGUUACCUUUUACUUGAAAGAACGAAUUGCCUGGCCC